AAACAAAACUCUUUCUUUGGUUUGAGAUAAUUACUCAAAACUUAGCUUAAAAGCUCUCAUGGAAUCGAUGUUCCCUUUCUUUAUCAAAUGUGAAAACAUUUCUGACUCUUGGGAAUACUUAGUUCCCGUAUAAUCUUUGAAAAAAAGAACUUUUACUCUUAAUCUUUAGUCAACUCAAAGCUUAAGUCUUAAAACGAAGUUAAAACGUUUGUAAAAGACUUUUGAAAGACUUUAUAAACUUCUCUUGACUUGAUUCUUAACUUCGUAACUUGACUCUUAACUUUCCUUGAAUUAAAUUUAUGGAUUCAAGGAUUGUGAUUUGUAAUAGUUAGGAUCGCAUGAUGUUUAAGAGUGUUUUUAGAUAGUUAAACAUGAGAAACGAUCAAGAAAUCACUGUCUGGAAGCAAGUCCGCGAUGCGGAGAUGUAUUUAAGUAUUUGGUCUCGAAUAAAUUUGAGGCAGAAUGGUCCGUGACCACUCCGCGACGCGGAGAAAAUUUUGCCAAUCCUGAGGAAUAAGUCCGCGAUGUGGACCUUGUACCCAGAUUUGCACGACUUGUUCCUUCUUCGUUUUCUGACCCCAAUUCGCCUAAACUCAGUUCUUUUUCUCAAAUUCUCUUUAGAUUCAGAUACUUAGUAUGUAUAAACACGAAUAUUACUCAAAUUACUCAGGGAAACAAUAUUAUAACCUCAAGGAACUCCUCAAUCUCAACCUAACUCAAGAACGAAUGCCAAUUUAUAGAACACCAUUCAAGAUUCAUCAACUUUCAACUUUCUAGAAUGAACUUCGCUGAAAUAAACAUGAUUGGCACGUGGGUGAACGAACCCAACGCUAUGAAAGACUCACAUACCUUGUAGGAUCAAAUCCUUGGCGAAACUCGCAAUCAAUUCCUCACAAAGACGAUGAAAUCUUGUUUUUCUUCUCCUUUGCUUCUCUUUUCUCUUCUCGCAAAGCCCUAGCGUAAUUCUCAAUAGCGUAAACUGAAUUAACUCAGUUUAAGCCUCAAAUAUUUUUCUAAAAACGGAUUUAAUUAAUUGGGUAAUGAAAAGACCAUAAUGCCCUUCUAAAAUUCGGAUUAAACUUUCCUUAUUUGAACAACCUAACUUCAAAUGAGAAUAUCUCACUCAUAUGAACUCGGAAUUGCACAAACUCGGUGGCGUUGGAAAGAUAGUUCAAAGAUAUUUCCUACGGUAUCUUUUAGCACACCUAACUCAUCUUGAUCUAGGAGUUAUCUUCGUUUGAAGUUGACCAAAACUCAAACUUAACAUACUUAAUCAUUUUUCCAGAUUUUUCAUUCUUUCCAAAAUCAACUCUUUCUAAUUCUAGCUCUUCUUAGUUCUUUCAAAUAGCGAGAUGUUACAUCAAGUUUUCAAACAAGUUUUAAAAAAUUGUAAAAGACUUCUCAAAUUGACUGGAAAGAACUCUCAAGACUUUACUCUUAAAUCUACCUUGAAUUUGAAUUAUGAAUUCAAGGGUUCUGAUUCAUGUUAUUAAGUAUCUCUUGAUGUUUAGAUGUAGUUUACAGUAUUUAGAAUCAGAAAGGAGUAAACAUAUACUUUAAACGAACUCAGAUGGGACAAUCGACAGAAAAAUAGGGGGGGAAGGCAACCCUGGUGCACUGAGUGGCGCGGGGUGCCAGCUCCUCAACUACAUAACACAUUUCCUAGCACAUUGUUGGCGCGGCGCAUCAACCCCUACUCAAAUUUUUUCCAAUGAAUUUUCUUCUUCAAUUUUAUGCCCUAAUUCACCUAGAAUCGAAUGGUUUCUUCCAAACUCUUUUAGAUUCGAAUACCCAACAUUAGUAAACGAAAAUCUACUCAUAAACAACCCUUGAAUUCCUAUUCAUCUCAAAAACUCAUCAAAAUCUCAAUAAUCAAGAUUUAUGAAUGAAACUUCAAGAAUCUCAUUAGAUGGAUUAUCAUGGACAAAAUUAACUCAAGAAACUCAUGAUUGGCGUGUGGGUGAAUGAACCCAUCACUAUGAAUAACUUACAUGCCUUUUAGGGAUCAAACCCAUGGCGAAAUUUCUCGACAAAUCUCAAGAAUCUUGACGAACGCCAAGAACCUUCCCUGUUUUAUCUUCUUGAACUCCUUUCAAAACCCUAAGAGUAUUUCAGGAUUGUAAAAACUGAACCAAAUCAGUUUAAACCCCUAAAAUAUUACUAAAAAUGUUUAAACCUGAUAGGGUAAGGAAAAGACCAAAAUACCCCUAAUUAAUUUGGGUAAAUUUCCUUAACUGGACAUGUUGACUUCGAACGAGCAUAUAUCCCUCAUCUGAACUCGAAACUUAACAAACCCGAUGACGUUGGAAAGAUGAUUCAAAUAACUUUCAUUUGAUAUCUUAUAAUCCACCUAACUUGUCACGCCCCGAGCCUACACCCUGGACGUGACUGGCACUCGAGAACCAUUGUUGGCUCCAAGCAAACCCUUGGCCUGACUUACUACUCAGCGGAAUACUUAACUAACAUGAAAUAGUCUCAGAAGAUAAACUCAUGCAAUAAACUCAGAAUGUCUUAAAAGAGACAUUUAACUGGCCAAAGCGGCAACUCAAGUCUCUAAAGCAUUAACAACUGAAAAUGGAAAGACGUGUGAACUACUGUCUAUCUAUCUAUGAAGCCUCUAAUACUAUGAGGGAUGUCGGGAAAAGACCCCCGAUCAUUCUAGCAACUGAAAUAAAUGAAACAUAACAGAAAGGGAUCCUCCGGAAAGCAAUGAGGCUCCCAAUAACUCUGAAGCUCAACUAGAUCAAUGAAUCGCUGGAUGUUGAUCUUGGUUACAUGUAUCUGCAUCAUAAAAGAUGCAGGCCAAAUGGCGUUAGUACAUGGAAUGUAUGAGUAUGUGAGGAGAAUUCUAAAACAAGACAUAAGCUUGAAAGGGAACUGAAGAAACUUACCUCGUCUCAACUCAACUUAACUCAUUUCAAUAUAAAGCAAUAAUAAAGAUGCAGUAUAAAGAAAAUAUUUUAAACAUGUAGAUAACAACUCAGUGCAUUGAAAAAGACAAUAGUAACUUAGUUUUGUAUAUGAAGAUACAAGUAACUCUGUGGAAAAUUCUCUAACUAACAACCAUCACUAUGAGCUAUGUGAUGAUACAACGUCUCUCCAUGCUGCCAGAACUGUCCUAUACUUUGCUGGGGUAUAGGACUACUCACUAUGUGGAUCCACUAGUUUAUGGUAAAAAUCAUUAAAGAAUCAUCUAAAAAGUAUGACCCUUUCUAUCCACGUUGGCUACAUGAUUUAUGGAGACUUUGAAUUAUUUGAACUCGUCUCCAUAUCGGUGCUCAAUACUACUCCCAAAAUAAGUAGCUCAUAUAUUUAAAAACAUGACUUUCUCUGUGGUUUGAGAUUAUUACUCAAAAAUCUAUCUUUUAAAAGAGAUGGUACUCAGAACUGUUCAUGAAAAUUCUUUUGGAAAUCAGUGUUUCCUCUCAUCUUAAAUGUGAAAACAUUUACUCUUUUGAAAUACUUUGGUCCCAUAUAUCAUUUUAAAGAAAAUGAACUCAGCUUUACUCUUCCUUAAACUCAAUGCUUAAGUCUUAAACAAGAGGGGUGUAAGACAAGGAGAUCACAUGUCUCCUUACUUGUUUGUAAUAGCCAUGGAUUACUUGACUAGAAUUCUAAAGACAUUGCAGACAAAUCUUGAGUUUCACUACCAUCCUAGAUGAAAAAGACAGAGAAUAGUUCAAUUAAGCUUUGCCGAUGAUCUGCUGAUGUUUUGUAGAGGUGACUUAAAAUCAGUAACAUGGUUGAAUAAAUGUUUUAUGAUGUUUUUCUAGAGCUUCUGUCUAGUUGCAAAUGUAGACAAGAGCAAUGUGUAUUUUGGAGGAGUUAAACAGCAACAACAAGAAGAGAUAUUGCAGGAGCUAAUAUUUGUGAAAGGGGAGUUGCCAUUUAGGUAUCUUGGAAUGCCUCUGAGUACUAAAAGGUUGUCUAUAGUACAAUUUAAACCUCUAUAAGAUAGGAUGCUUACUAAAAUCACAAGCUGGACAACAAAAUUCUUGUCUUAUGCAGGAAGAGCUCAACUCAUCAAAAGUGUUUUGUAUGCAAUCCAAAUGUUUUGGUCUCAAGUUUUGCUCUUCCAAAGAAAAUAAUUCAAGCAGUGGAAACUAUUUGUAGAAGGUUCUUAUGGACAAGAAAUACUGAAAUCUCAAGGAAAGCAUUAGUUGCAUGGGAUAAGUUGUGUUGGCCUAAACCAAGUGGUGGACUAAAUUUUCUGAAUAUAUAUACAUGGAACAAAGCUGCAGUUGGGAAGUUGUUGUGGAACUUAUGCAAAAACAAAAACAAAUUGUGGGUGGUUUGGAUACAUAGUUACUAUGGGCAAAAUGGUGUGUGGAACAUACAAGCCAAACAGGUUUCCGGGUAGUGCAAAAUAUUUUGAAGGCAGCAAAACAUCUACAAGAGGCUGGACUUACUGAGGUAGAUAUGAGGAGCAUGAUACAAUAUAGCAUAAGUAGAGUAUAUAUGCAAAUGAGAGGUACAAAGGAGAAGGUAGGAUGGAGGUCACUAGUAUGGAAAAAUUAUGGUGCUCCUAAGUGGAUUUUCAUCAUGUAUCUAGAUGUACAAAGGAGACUUGCAACAAAGGACAGAUUGGCAAAAUGGAGAGUAAUGCAAGAUUUAUUGUGUCCUCUAUGUCAGUUAGCUAAUGAAGAUCAUGAUCAUAUAUUUUUCCAAUGUGAUUAUGCAACAGAGAUAUGGAGGUGUAUUUUACAAUGGCAAGAAAUAAGAAGGAAUGUAAUGAAUUGGACGGAGGAAGUACAAUGGGGAAUGCAGUACAUGAAAUGCAAAAGCAGCAGGGCUCUAAUGUACAGAAUGCCAAUGUCAAAUGUUGUUUAUCAUAUCUGGUUGGAGCGAAAUGCUAGGAUUUUUAAGCAGCCACAAAAACCAGCAAACUACCUGAUUAGGCUUAUAAUACAGGAAAUUCAUGGGAGAGGCAAUCGAUAUCCAAGAAUAGCUACUAGAUUACAAAAGUUGAAUACCUUUUCAUAGAAUAUAGUAGUAGUAAUGAGAUUUUGGUUUAGCAAGGGUGGAGCAUAUGUCCACACCGGCUAAUUUCUUUGUUUUGUAACGUUUACUUGGUAAAUAAAAUUUUACUUACCAAAAAAAAAAGUUCAAAAGAUUUAUAAAAGACUUCUUAAAAUGACUCGAAGAACUUUCAAGACUUGACUCUCAACUCUACCUUGAAUUUGAAUUAUGAAUUCAAGGUUAUGCUUUGUGAUAGCAAGGAUAUCUUGAUGAUUAAAAGUGUUUUUAGAUAGUUAAUCACGAGAAAUGGUCGAAAAACACUGUCUGGGGAGCAAGUCCGCGAUGCGGAGAUGAAUUUAAAUAUUUGGUCAUGAAAUAAUUUAUAAACAGUAGAGUCCGCGUCCUCUCCGCGACGUGGAUAGAAAAUUUGUUUAUUGGGGGAGCAAGUCCGCGACGCGGACUUGCGUGCCAGAUUUUACCCGACUUUUUUCUUCCUCGUUUUCUAACCCCAAUUCACCUAGAAUCGAAUGGUUUCUUCCUCAAUCACUUAGAAUCGAAUACCCAACAAUAUUACACAAGAAUCCACUCAAAAACAACCUUAAAACUCAUACGAUUAUCUCAAGAACUCAUCAAAACCUCAACAAUCAAGAUUAUGAAAAAAACUUCAAUGAAACUCAUCAACAACUCAAAUCCUUGGCGCGUGGGUGAACAAAAUUACGUUGAAAUAAUGAUGAUUGGCGCGUGGGUGAAUGAACCCAACACUAUGUGAACUCACAUACCUCUUUAGGGAUCAACCCUUGGCAAAAAAGACCUUUGAUUCCGCAAGAAAUCUCCAAGAACACCUUGACUUUUCUCAUUUUUUUCUCCUCUUGAACUCUUUUAUCUAAAAUCCUAGCGUAAUUUAGGAUUCUGUAAACUGAACCAAAUCAGUUUAGACCCCUAAUUAAUUACUAAAAAUAUUUUAAGCUGAAGGGGUAAGGAAAAGACCAAAAUACCCCUCAUAAAUUCGGGUAACUUUCCUUAACUGGACAAACUAACUUUAAACAGGCAUAUAUCCCUCAUCCAAAACUCAAAACUUAGCAAUCUCGGUGGCGUUGGAAAGAGGAUUUAAAUACAUUUCAUUUGAUAUCUUAUGAGCCACCUAACUCAUCAUGUACUGAAAGUUAUGGUCGUUUGAAGUUGACCCAAAACUCACAACUUAAGCAUAACUUGCAAAAUUCUCAAUUUAGCUUUUUCCAAAUUAGUUCUUUCUAAAUUUAGCUAUUUCUAAGGCGGGAUGUUACAAUUUAAGUCUUAAAGAAUUUAACAAGUAACUCAGUCAGUCAUAUUAGUAAGCAUAAGUCAGUCACAUAGUUUGUAAGGCAUAUAAGUAAGUUACAUUAGUUAGUUAUUAAGUCACAUAAGUCAGACUUAAAGAAUUUAACAUGCCACAUUACAUUAGUUAGUAGUCACAUUAGGAAUAAAGGAGAAAAAAAAUAAAAAGUUACAUUAGUAAGUAGUAAGUAGUCACAUUAGUUAGUAUAAGUCACAUUACAUUAGUUAAUAGUCAAAUUAGGAAUAAAGAAGAAACAAUAAAAAGUGACAGUCAAACAAACAAGGUACACUCACAUUAAUAGUAUAAGUCACUUUACAUUAGUUAGUAGUCACAUUAGGAAUAAAGGAAAAACAAUUAAAAGUGUCAAACAAACAAGGUAAGUACUCACAUUAGUGUAAGGUUAGUAAUUCACAUUACAUUAGUUAGUACUCACAUUAGGAAUAAAGGAGAAAAAAAUUAAAAGUGACAGUCAAACAAGGUAAGUCAAACAAGGACGGUUUAAGUCAGUUAAGUAUUUGAGCUAAUUACACAAUACUAAUUAACAGAUGACCUAAGUAAAAUAAUAUUAAACAAGUGGUCCUUGUUAAGUAUGUGAGCUAAUUAUACACUACUAGUUAACAAUUAAGCUGGGUAAAUUAAGAUUAAACAAGUGGUCCUACCUAACUGCACAGAAUGUAAUUAAUAUCAACUAUCAAUUAUAUACUUGUCUAGUUCUUAUGGACCUACCUAACUAUACAAAAUAAAUAGUCAUAAAGAAAGGGAAUAAAGACAUGAAGAAAGGGGAUAAAGACAUCAAGAAAUGGAAUAAAGGCAUAACGAUAUUAAAUAAAGACAGGAAUGGAGACAAUCGACAAAAGAAGAAGAUAAAAUAUCCAUAAACCACAGAAAACGACACCACAAAAGCAACACAUCUGAAACACAAACAAACAAAAACACUUCUUCAACAUAAAGGUGCACAAAAUCCUAACAAAUCCGCAUAAAACGACACUAAAGUAAAACCUUAGAAAACGAAAGAACAACCACAGUUCAUUUUUAAGAUAAAUGUGAACAAAUCUCUACAAAUCACUAUAAAAAGCAGAUUCUAGACAAAGAAUUAAAGAUACAAGUGAAAAUCAAAACUCAACAACAUCUUUCUUACUAGCUAGGAAUGACAAUACAAGCAAAAAUAGAACACAAAAUAAGAUCUCGUAGAUGAACAUAGUAAAAGUGUGAGUACCUAUGACCGGAUCUGAGUGAAUCCACCAAGAAUAAUGGAGACGAGCGAGUAGUUUACGUCUGAUGGACUAGGAUUUUUGUUUGUGAGAUGAACGAAAGUAACGAGUAUAGGGGCUUUUUCUUUAGGAUUUUAGAGAGUUUAUUUGUGGGUAAAUCGGGUGGGUUAAAUAGGUUAUGGGCGGGUUUUAAAAUUUGGAUUAAAAAAUUGGUCAACUCGGAUUGUUGCGUAGGAUUGCGCCACGUGUACAUAAUGAGUGUUCUGUUAGUGGGAGGGGCAAAUGUGCACUGAUUAUUGGACGGCAAGGGCACUGAUGGACGAAAAGUAUGACGGAGGAUAUUGACAUACCAUUUUCGAAAGUUCGAGAAUAUAUUUGUCCUUUUUUCCAAUUUUAAAAAUUGGGAUUCAAAUCCCAACAAAGCACAAAAACGUUGUUAUUUCUUCCCAUCUACAUAACCCUUAGUUGACAAAGUUUCUCAUUACUUGUGUUGCUGCCUGAUAAUAAGAAAUAACAAAUACUCGGUGGAAUAACCAAAAUAGGCCUAAACACUAUUUUUGUAAGCAAAUUUAUAAAGGAGGAACAGCCAAAUGGCAUGGACGUUGAAGAAUACACGCAUUAUAUAUAAUUUAAUAAUAACGUCACUUUGAUUUUACCCAAUCAUUACAUAAUUCUGAGCAAACACAUCUUAUUCAAGAUAAACCUUCGUGACAUAGACAUAACAAUGUAUUAAUUUACUUCCCAAGGCCCAAAGUCUCCAAUGAUUUACAUGCUUGCAGCACACAAGAAAAACUAAUAGCAUCAAGACAUACAAUGAAAUAAAAUAGGCAUCAACAAGGGAUGUGAUUAAUGGAUUAGAAUCAUGAUCAAGCUUAUAAAUGCAAACGAUAAUAGGUAGUCUCAUGCACAAAGCAUCCCGCGUCAGCACAGUUCAGAAAAGAGUUGCACCUCAAAGGACAUACUAUGGAUAGUCUACCCUAAUACAAGCCACACCCAAAAGGUGUAGUUUGAACAGUCUACCUAAUUCAAGCAUUACUAUGAGAGAUUAUACCUAAGAUAAGGCAAAUGGAAAAAUAGAAACAUCCCACACUAGCAGAGUUCGAAGAAGGGCCACACCCCUAAAGAUGUAAUAUGAACAGUCUACCCUAAUACAAGCAUUAGUAACCAAACCCUUCCGCAUUAGCAGAGUUCGGAGAAGGGCCCACACCCAAAGGAUGCAAUGUCCAAUGCUAGCAUUAGUAACCAAACCAUCCCGCAUUAGCGAGUGAUCUCCCCUAAUACAAGGAUUAGUAUACCUAAAACAAGGCAAAUGGAAAAAUAGAAUGGGGUGAGAGAGGCUCGACCUCAGGAUUACUCAGAAGCUAUGAGACCUACGCGCUAGCCAACUGCGCCACCACCUGUUGUGAAUAAAAACCCACACAUUAUUUUAAAACCAAUGUACAAAACCAAACAAAUUUUUCACACAAAAUAAUACAAAAUGCAGGUUUUAUAUUAUAGUUUUGACUGGCAAAGUUAACAUCUUAGCAACAUGAUAAAGUCUAGUAAAAUAACAACCAAAUCCUCAAUAUUUUCCAUUAACAUACAAAAAUGACAUACAUAUAUGAUAUAUGUAUACCAUUAACAUCUUCUGCUAAUUCUUGUUUCCAGGGUCAACAUGGGGAAUACCAUAAGGUGACACCAUAGUCAUCCUGCAAAACAUAAAUGAUUAUCCAGUUUAGAAACAAGUUAUGCAAAAUUAGUAAUGUAGUUAUUAAUUAUAUUGGUAGUCUUCUUAAUGUGAAGAAAUGUAAUAUAUAUAUAGUAGUAGUAAUAUAUGAAUUAGAAGGAUAAUACAAAUAUGUAUGAAAAGAAAAAUUAAAAUAUGUUACUAUGCCUUAGAAAGUUGUAGAGAAAGAGCACUCAAAGUUUAUUAAAAUAUAAUAAUUAAUGUUGUAUGGAUUUUUCAAAUUGACAUAUAUUACAAAGAGCAUUCAAAAUUUAAAAGUUAUAAAAACAGUCAUAAUAGACUAGAGGGAAGAACCAUUUUCUAGUUCUUCUUAAUUUGGAAAUUUUCAUUUUUUAUACCUAAGAUACUUUCAUUAUUUUUAUAUAUAAAAGAUCUGAAAAAGACAGAUAAUUUUCUUCUAUUCAAACUUGAUUGUGAAGAUAUAUUCUUUUUAGGUUUACUAUUUGAUCAUUUGUUGAACUUAAAGAUCAAUUUGAGAAGAGUAACUAAUAAUUCACCUUCUUAAUUUUCUAAAAUGAAGUUAUAACUUAAAAAGUUUAACUAGGUCUACACAGACACAAAACAAAAUUGAUAUUUGAAAAUAGAAAAAUAUUGGAAGGAAUAUUUGAAAGUAUGAUAUUACGUUUAUAUAUGCAUUUAACUUUUAAAAAAAAAAAUAGAUGAAUACCAACCUCUCUUUUCGCUUUUCCAAGAAUUUAACUGAUGAUUUUCUUGUUGCCAAUGGUACAUCUACAUGUAACAAAGACCAACAUAUUAAAAUAAUUCAAAGAUGAACAAAACAUUAAUCAAAUUUAAAUUACAAGGAGAAGGAAGAAAUGUUUAACCUUCGCUUAAGGUUUUCACAAACAAUGGCUGUUUUGACGAUUCUGCGAACUUUAGAACUCCAUCCACCUACGAACAUAAUAUAUAAUUCAGAAAUCACAGUUAUAUAUAACCAAUUCAAAAGUAAAGGAAAUAAUUCAAGGAGCAAUGACAGUUGAUUGAUAAAAACCUUUUCACUGAAGACUUCGAAAACUGUAACUUUUUCAUUGUAGAAAAUAGUCAGAGGCGCAAUUUUCAUGCCGAAUCUCGAAGGGCAAAACCUAAUUAAUAAAAUCAAUUCAAAGAUCAAUCGAUGAGUAUUUUCAUUAUUGAAAGCAUUAACAUUAUAUGUUUGCCAACUUUCUUAUAUAUUUUUUAAAAUUCUAGAAAUGUUCAUUUUUAACAUAUAAGAGAUUUUUAUUUUUCACACAUAAGAAAUCUAAAAAAAUAUUUUCUUCUUAUAAAUUAUAAGACUGCUACUGCCAAUUUUAUUUAUUUUUUAUUUUAUAAAAGAGCAAGAAAAUGCAUUUCCCCGAACUUUUACUGGGAGAACUAAAAAGAAACAUUAAUACACUGAUCAUGAUAAAUUAUUCAUUUCUUUCCUUUAUUUAAUAUUCUUCUAGAGGGAGAAGUUAAUUCCUAAUUGAAAAUAUAAUUUAAUUAAGUAUUCUCAUGAAGUAACAACAGUUCUCUUAACUCUUUUUUGGUAAAGAUUACCUUUUAUAUUCUCAUACAAAUUACUCUAUGUCUUUUCAAACUAUUUACUUAUUUUUGAGGUUAGGAUCAAUAAUUUGAGGAAAAAAUUGAAGGUUAUGGUAAACUAGAUUUGAGAGGUUAAGUAGGCAUUCCGACAUAAAAAAUCACCUCUCUUUUUGAUUCUCCAAAACUCCAAGCAUAAAGUUUCUCCUUGCCAUGUCUAGAUCUAUAUGCAACAAAAAUCAACACAUCGUUAAAAUAAUUUGAAAAUCAACAAAAUAUUAAUCAAAUUUAAUUUUUAAAUGAGAAGGAAAAGAAAAUUGUUUAACCUCCACUUAAUGAUCCCACGGAAAAUUGAUUUUUAGAUGAAAAUGCAUCCCUUUCUAUAAACUUUAGAAUAUUUGCCGCCUACAUUUACAACAAAUAAUUCAAAAUUCACAAUUAUGUGUAAUCAAUUCAACAGUGAAACAAAACUAAUCAGAAUGUCAUUUAAUUAAUCAAAACCUUCUCAGUGGAGACAUCAUAAACCGCAAUCUUCCCAUCAUAGAAAAUAGUCAAGGGUGCAACUUUAAUGCCAUUUUCCGAGUCACAAUCAAGCCUCAUCAACACAAUCAACACAAAGAUUAAUCUAUGGAUAUUUUCGCUAUCCAAAGCAUUAACCAAGGCAAUGUAGUCAUUGCAUUUGCUUAAAAAAUACUGUUAUUUUUUUACGAGAGAUUUUCAUAUAUAUAAUUUAACAAGUAAGAGAUUUUCAAUUUUCUUACACAUAAUAGAUCUGAAAAUAAAUAAAUUAUUCUGUUCAAAUUAUAAAAGAACUUUAUCAAAAAAUCAAAAUCAUAAAAAGGCAAGAAAUCACUUUUCCUCAUACUUCUAGGGAGAGUACUAAAAAAAUACAUUAUUAUGAUAAUUAUCCUAUUUAUCAGAACCUUGUUCAUGUUGAAAUUGAAACAAAUUCCAUUGAAGUAUUAUGAUAAUUAUCCUAUUUAUCAUGUUAUAAUUGAUAUUUACAUAUCCCUAUUAGCUUUGAAAAUGUUUGUGUAAUGAAGGCUACUACUAAUAGUGCAUAGGCACGUUAAGACUAAUGUAACUAUAUACACAGUUUUAAUAUAAAAUAAUAUUAUCUAUUUCAACUAAAAUGGAUUUUGUUUGUUAUAAAGAUUAUCUUUAAAUCUCUUAAAAUUAUCUUCUAUAUCUUUUCGUCAAACUAAUUGAUCAUUUAUUGAAGUUAAGAUUAAUUUUGAGAAAAAUAAUUAAUAUCUUUUUAAUUUUUUAAAAGUGAAGCUUAUGAUAAACUAAAUUGAAAGGCUAAGUAAGCGUUUCCACAUUAAAAAAUAAGGGUGAUAUUUGACAAAACAAAACUUAUAAGGGGUAUUAGGAAGUACGAAAUUGUAUUUAAAUAUGUAUUUAAUCAAUUUGAAAAAAAAUUAGAAAAAUGAGAGUAGAAACCUUUUUACCUUAUUUGUGGCUUCUCGAAGAUUCUAAGCGAGGAGUUUAUCUUCGGCAAUGGUAGAUCUACAUGCAACAAAAACCAACACAUUGAAAUAAAUUGAAAAUGAACAAAAUUUUAUACAAAUUUAAUUUUCAUAGGAAAAGGAAAAGGAAAAGGAAAAGGAAAAGGAAAAGAAAAAUGUUUAACCUCCACUGUUUGACGACAAGACAUCAUUAGUUAUUGACAUUUUUGCAAACUUUAGAAUUUCAUUCGCCUACAUGCAGAACAAAUAUUCAAAAAUUACAAUUACAUGAAAGCCAAUUAACAAUUGAGCGAAAAUAGAUCAUGGAUCAAUAACAUUUGAUUGAUGAAAACCUUGUCAUUGGAGACGUUGAAAUUUGCAAAGAUUCCGUUGUAGCGAAUAGUCAAAAGUGCAAUUCUCAAGCCAUUUUCCGAGCCACCACAAAGCCUAAUAAAUAAAAUCAACACAAAAAUCAAUCGAUUGAUAUUUUCAUUAUCUAAAGCAUUAGUCGAGUAAUACAAACGUUAUAUAUGUUUGUCAACUUUUUUAUAUAUUUUUUAAAUUUUGAUGUUCUUUUUACUAGAAAUCUUCAUUUUUAACAUAUGAGAUAUUUCCAUUUUUUUCACAUAAGAAAUCUAAAAAAAUAUUUUCUUUUAAAUAAUUCGAGCUCUAUUAUUAAAAAAUAAAUUAUAAAAGGGCAAAAGAUUACAUUUCUUCAAAGUUCUAGAGGGAAAUGUUUGAAACGAAGUAUCUCACCUAAAAGGAGCGAAACCCUAAUCAACGUUUUAGAUCCUUAAAAAACACAUAAAUACACUAAUCAUGAUAAAUUCUUUAUUUCAUUCUUGUAUUUAUUCUUCUUGGCUUUGCAGACAUAUAAUUUAAUUAAGUACUCUCUUUAAGGAACAAUCCAACUUCUCUUAAUUCUUUUUGGUAAAGAUUGCCCGUUAUAUUUUCAUACAAAAAUACUCUUCAUCUUUUCAAAAUAUCAUUUAUUGAAGUUCAGAUUAAUUUUGGAAAUUUUUUUUAAUGUUAUAAUAAACUAGAUUUGAGAGGUUAAGUAGGCGUUCGGACAUAUAAAAAAAAAGUAAUAUUGGACAAAAAUUGUUAGAAAAGGGUAUUAAAAAAUAUGUAUUGUAUUUGAAUAUGUAUUUAAAUAACUUGAAAACAUAUAAAUUUUGAAAGUGCAAAAAAGUUCACCUCUCUUUUUGCUUCUCUGAGACUCCAAUCAUAGAGUUUCUCCUAGCCAAAUGUUGAUCUAUAUGUAACAAAAAUCAACACAUUAUCAAAAUAAUUCAUGAUGAGCAAAAAUAUUAACCAAAUUAAUUUUCAAAUAGAAGGAAAAGAAAAUUGUUUAACCUCCAGUUAAUGUUUCCACAGAGAUUUUUUUUCCGGAUGGAAAUACAUCAUUAAAUUUUGACCUUUCUGCAAACGCUAGAAUAUUUGCUGCCUACGUAUAUGAUAAAUAAUUUGAAAAUCACAAUAUGUUUCAUUAAUUUAACAAUGAAACGAAACCAAUUAGGAAUGAAUAACAUUUUAUUAAUACAAACCUUAUCCAUAGAAGCAUCGAGACUAGCCGUCUUUCCGUCAUAGGAAAAAUUCAUGGGAAAAUUUUUUAUGCCAUUUUUUAAGCCACAAUCAAGCCUGAUUAAUACAAUCAACACAAAUAUUAGUUGAAUUUUGUUUGUUAAAAAGAUUAUCUUUAAAUCUCUUAAAAUUAUCUUCUAUAUGUUUUUGUUAAAAAGAUUAUCUUUAAAUCUCUUAAGAUUAUCUUCUAUAUCUUCUCGUCAAACUAAUUGAUCAUUUAUUGAAGUUAAUAUUAAUUUCGAGAAAAAUAAUUAAUAUCUUUUUAAUUUUUUAAAAGUGAAGCUUAUGAUAAACUGAAUUGAAAGGCUAAGUAGGCGUUUCCACAUUAAAAAAUAAGGGUGAUAUUUGACAAAACAAAACUUAUAAGGGGUAUUAGGAAGUACGAAAUUGUAUUUAGAUAUGUAUUUAUUCAGUUUGAAAAAAAUUUAGAAAAAUGAGAGUAGAAACUUUUUUACCUUAUUUGUGGCUUCUCGAAGAAUCUAAGCGAGGAGUUUAUCUUCGGCAAUGGUAGAUCUACAUGCAACAAAAACCAACACAUUGAAAUAAAUUGAAAAUGAACAAAAUAUUAUACAAAUUUAAUUUUCAUAGGAAAAGAAAAAGAAAAAGAAAAAUAUUUAACCUCCAUUGUUUGACGAAAAGACUUCAUUAGUUAUUGACAUUUUUGCAAACUUUAGAAUUUCAUUCGCCUACAUGCAGAACAAUUAUUCAAAAAUUACAAUUACAUGAAGCCAAUUAAUAAUUGAGAGAAAAUAGAUCAUGAAUCAAUAACAUUUGAUUGAUGAAAACCUUGUCAUUGGAGACAUUGAAAUUUGCAACCAUUCCAUUGUAGUUAAUAGUCAAAAGUGCAAUUCUCAAGCCAUUUUCCGAGCCACCACAAAGCCUAAUAAAUAAAAUCAACACAAAAAUCAAUCGAUGGGUAUUUUCAUUAUUUAAAGCAUUAAUCGAAUUAAUAUAGACGUUACAUAUGUUUGUCAACUUUUUUUUAUACAUUUUAAAUUUUGAUGUUUUUCUUACUAGAAAUCUUCAAUUUUAACAUAUGAGAUAUUUUCAUUAUUUACACAUAAGAAAUCUAAAAAAAAAUUCUCUUUUAAAUAAUAAGAGAGCUAUUGUCAAAAAAAAAAUUUAUAAAAGGGCAAAAGAUUACAUUUUUUCAAAGUUCUAAAGGAAAAGGUUUGAAACGAAGUAGCUCACCUAAAAGGAGAGGAAACCUAACCAACGUUUUGACCCUAAAACACACAUAAAUACACUAAUCAUAUUAAAUUCUUUAUUUCAUUCUUUUAUUUAUUCUUCUUGGCUUUGCAGACAUAUAAUUUAAUUAAGUACUCUCUUUAAGGAACAACCCAACUUCUCUUAAUUCUUUUUGGUAAAGAUUGCCCUUUAUAUUUUCAUACAAAACUACUUUUCAUCAUCUUAUCAAACUAUCAUUCAGUGAAGUUCAGAUUAAUUUUCGAUAAAAGUUUUUAAUGUUAUGAUAAACUAGAUUUGAGAGGUUAAGUAGGCGUUCAGACAUAUAAAAAAAAUGUAACAUUGGACAAAAAAUGUUAGAAAAGGGUAUUAAAAAAUAUGUAUUGUAUUUGAAUAUGUAUUUAAAUAACUUGAAAACAUAGAAAUUUUGAAAGUGCAAAAAUGUUCACCUCUCUUUUUGCUUCUCAAAGACUCCAAGCAUAGAGUUUCUCCUAGCCAAAUGUUGAUCUAUAUGUAACAAAAAUCAACACAUUAUCAAAAUAAUUUCANNNNNNNNNNNNNNNNNNNNNNNNNNNNNNNNNNNNNNNNNNNNNNNNNNNNNNNNNNNNNNNNNNNNNNNNNNNNNNNNNNNNNNNNNNNNNNNNNNNNNNNNNNNNNNNNNNNNNNNNNNNNNNNNNNNNNNNNNNNNNNNNNNNNNNNNNNNNNNNNNNNNNNNNNNNNNNNNNNNNNNNNNNNNNNNNNNNNNNNNNNNNNNNNNNNNNNNNNNNNNNNNNNNNNNNNNNNNNNNNGUCAAGCCUGAUUAAUACAAUCAACACAAAGAUUAGUUGAUGGGUAUUUUCAUUGUGUACAAACAUUAACCAAGUCAAUGUAUUGCAUUUGCUUAAAAAUAUAUCUUUUAAUUUUAUAUUCUUUUUACGUAACAUCUUCUCAUCAGACUAAUUUAUCAUUUAUUGAGGUUAAAAUUAAAAUUAUAAUUAAUAUUUUCUUGAUUUUCUAAAAUAAAGCUUAUGGUAAACUAGAUUUGAAAAGCUAAAUAGGCGUUUCCACAUUAUAAAAAGAAGGUGAUAUUUGACAAAACAAAAGUUAUAAGGGGUAUAAUAAAGUAUGAAAUUUUAUUUGAAUAUGUAUUUAAUUAACUUGAAAAAAUAAAAUAAAAAUUGUGAGUGAAAAUAAAUUCACCUUGUUUUCGGCUUCUCCGAGAAUCUAGGCACGGAGAUGCUCCUUGCCAAUGGUAAAUCUACAUACAACAAAAAACAACACAUUAGUGAAAUAAUUUGAAAACGAACAAAACAUUAUAUAAAUUUAUUUUUCAUAGGAUAAGGAAAGAAAAAUGUUUAACCUCCAUAGUUUGAUGAAAAGUCAUUCUUAAUUUUUGACAUUUUUGCAAACUUUAGAAUAUCUUUCGCCUACAUUCACAACAAAUAUUCAGAAAUCACAGUUAUAUGAACCCAAUUAAAAAGUGAAAGAAAAUAAAUCAAAAAUCAGUGACAUUAGAUUGAUAAAAACCUUGUCACUAGAGACAUGGAAAGAUGCAACCAUUCCAUUGUAGCAAAUAGUCAAAAGUGCAAUUUUCAUGCCAUUUUCUGAGCCAGCACAAACCCUGGUUAAUAAAAUCAACAUAAAGAUCAAUCGAUGGGUAUUUUCAUUUUCUAAAGCAUUAACCAAAUUAAUGCAGACAUGUAUAUGUUUGUCAGUUUUUUCUUAUAUAUAUAUUUUAAAAAAUUUAGUGUUCUUUUUACGAGAGAUCUUCAUUGUUAACACUAAUUAAUACAAUGAUCAUGAUAAAUUCUUUAUUUCUUUCCUUUAUUUAUUCUUCUUGGCUUUGCAGACAUAUGAUUCCUAGGUUUACUAUGGCUAAGUUAAUUCUUGAUAAAAAAAAAAAAUGUAAUUAAGUACUCUAUUUAAGAAACAACACAACUUCCUUAAUUCUUUUUUAGUAAAGAUUACCUAUUAUAUUUUCAUAAAAAUUACUGUCUUUUUAAACUAUUAACUCAUUUAUCGAAGAUAGGAUUAAUUUGGAGAAAAAAAUUGAAGGUAGUAAAGUAAUUGAGAGGUUAAGUAGGUGUUCGGACAUAAAAAAAAAGUGAAGUUGGACAAAAAAUGUUAGAAAGGGAUAUUAAAAAAUAUGAAUAUUUGGAUAUGCAUUUAAAUAACUUGAAAACAUAGAAAUUUCGGAAGUGGAAAAAAAUUCACCUCUCUUUUCCCUUCUCCGAGAAUCCAAGCAUAGAGUUUCUUCUCACCAAAUGUUGAGCUAUAUAUAUGUAACAAAAGCCAGCACAUUAUUAAAAUAAUUUGAAGAUGAGCAAAAUAUUAAUCAAAUUUAAUUUUCAAAUAAGAAGGGAAAGAAAAUUUUAACCUCCACUUAAUGUUUCCACAAACAAUUGUUUUUCGGAUGAAACUGCAUCUCUUGUUUCUGACCUUUCUGCAAACUCUAGAAUAUUUGCCACCUAUAUACAUAAUAAAUAAUUCAAAAAUCACAAUUAUGUGUAAUCAAUUAAAUAGUGAAACAAAACCAAUCAGAGAAGAAUGACCUUUGAUUAUUACAAACCUUAUCACUGAAUAUAUUGAAACUCACACUCGUUCCAUCAUAGCAAAUAGUCAAAGGCGCAAUUAUUAUGCCAUUUUCCAAGCCAGAGUCAAGCCUGAUUAAUACAAUCAACACAAAGAUUAGAAGGAGAGGUCAUCCAUUUAUAAUUUUAUUAAAUAAAUUCUAUUGAGGCAUAUUUUAUAAUGAUUAUUCUAUUUAUCAUGUUAUAAUUGAUAUUUGCAGAUCUGUGUUGAAGUUGCAGAACUUUCGUUAUUAAAAAGAUUAUAUGUAUAUCUCCUAAAUUUAUUUUUUAUAUCUUCUCGUCAAACUAAUUGAUCAUUUAUUGAAGUUAAGAUUAAUUUGAAAAAAAUAAUUAAUAUCUUAGCUUCUUGGUUUUCUAAAAUUGUGUUUGAAUAUACAUUUAAUUAACUUGAAAAAAAAAAUUGUGAGUGAAAAAGAAUUUACCUCGCGUUUUUCUUCUCCGAGAAUCUAAGCAAGGAGUUUCUCCUCGCCAAUGGUAGAUCUACAUACAACAAAAACCAACACAUUACUGAAAUAGUUUGAAAAUGAACAACAUUAUACAAAUUUAAUUUUCAAAGGAGAAGGAAAAGAAAAAUGUUUAACCUCCACUUAAUGUUUCCACAGAUAAUUGUUUUUUUGGCGGAAUGACAUUCUUAAUUUUUGACUUUUCCGCAAACAUUAGAAUUUCCUUCACCUACAUACACAACGAAUAAUUUAGAAAUACAAUUAUGUGAAACCAAUUAAAAGUGAAAGAAAAUAGACUAGGGAUUAAUGACAUUUGAUUGAUAAAAACCUUGUCGCGGAAGACAUUGAAAUUUGCAAUCUUUCCAUUGCACCCAAUAGUCAGAAGCACGAUUUUCAUGCCAUUUUCCAAGCCACCACAAAGCCUAAUUAAUAAAAUCAACAAAAAGGUCAAUCAAUGUUUUUUUUCAUUGUCUCAAAUACUAAUCGAGUCCCUACAAACGUUAUAUUUGCUCAAGAAAUCUCUAUUCUUUUAUAAUUUUUAAAUAUAUAUAUUCUUUUAGCGAUAAAAUUUUAUUGUUACACAUAAGAUUUUUUUUUGAGAAGGGGGAUGUUUGGCUGUGCAGAAAUUUGAUUCCUAGGUUUACUAUGACAGUUAAUUGCUAAGCUAAUUCCUAAUCAUAAAUGUAAUUUAAUUAAGUUCUCUCUUUAUAGAACAAUUCAACUUCUUUUGAUUCUAUUUGAUAAAGAUUACAUCUUAUAUCUUCAAAAGUUACUCUUUUAAUCUUCAAAUUAUUUAAUUCUUUAUUUAAAAGCGCCCUUUUGCUAUUGAUGUGCAUUUAAUUUGAAAAGAAAAAAAAAUACCAACCUCUCUUUUCGGUUCUCCAAGAAUCUAAGUUGAGAGUUUCUCCUCGCCAUUGAGAUGUCUAAAUCCAAAAACAAACCAACACAAUAUUCCUCCAUUUAGAAUAAAUAGUUUGAAGAUGAAAAUCAAGAUUAUUGAAACACUCAUCAAAUUCUCAAAAAAUGUUUACCUUGACUUUGCGUUUCCACACCCAAUGGCUUUUUUGAUGAAGAGACAUUCACAACAUUUGAGCUAUCUGCAAACUUUAGAAUUUCCUCCGCCUACAUACACAUCAAAUUCAAAAAACACAAUUUACAUGUAACCAAUUCAAUAGUGAAAGGAAAAGGUUCUAGGAUUAAUGACAUUUGAUUAAUAAAAAUUAACCUUAUCCCUCGAGACAUUAAAAAUCUCAACUGUUUCAUCGCAGAUAAAACUCAGCGUCACAAUUUUUGUUGUUGCGUUUUUCAAAACUUCAUUGGGAUUGGUCUUCCCAAUCACAUUAUCAAUACCUACAAGAAAAUUUCACAAGGAAAAAUAAUUAGAAUUCAAUGUUAAUUAGCUGGAUUUUCCCUUUGUAACUAUUGAUAUACUUUGUAUUGAGAUAAAUCAAACAUAUAUGUAUACUUACACGCAUGAACAUAUACUCAUUGAUGAAUUUCUAUAGCAAAUUAGUGAAAAAGAAAGGAAAAUUAAAACCUCCAAAGGUGAUUUCACUUUUAAAUUUAGGUGCGAAAAUUAAGUGAAAUUUUUAUUUAUUUUCUGAUAUUUAGUUUGUAAGCAAAAAAAAUUAUUUUCAAAUAUAUUUUCUAUAUAAUUCAACCAUAUAUAGAAAAUCAAAAGAAAAGUUGAAAAAAAAAACUACUUUUCUCCUUACCUAACACACCUUCUUCGUUUUUAAAGAUUUUCCUUCUUUAUAGAAAGUGAGAUUAAGUUUAAAAUUUAAACAAUUUUGCUAUUUUCUAUAACAUUAAGAAAAUGAAAAAAUAUUUUUAUGCAUCUUUUUAACCUGUAAAAACCAAUUAUUCAAAUAUCGCGAUAAUAUCCAAAAAAANNNNNNNNNNNNNNNNNNNNNNNNNNNNNNNNNNNNNNNNNNNNNNNNNNNNNNNNNNNNNNNNNNNNNNNNNNNNNNNNNNNNNNNNNNNNNNNNNNNNNNNNNNNNNNNNNNNNNNNNNNNNNNNNNNNNNNNNNNNNNNNNNNNNNNNNNNNNNNNNNNNNNNNNNNNNNNNNNNNNNNNNNNNNNNNNNNNNNNNNNNNNNNNNNNNNNNNNNNNNNNNNNNNNNNNNNNNNNNNNNNNNNNNNNNNNNNNNNNNNNNNNNNNNNNNNNNNNNNNNNNNNNNNNNNNNNNNNNNNNNNNNNNNNNNNNNNNNNNNNNNNNNNNNNNNNNNNNNNNNNNNNNNNNNNNNNNNNNNNNNNNNNNNNNNNNNNNNNNNNNNNNNNNNNNNNNNNNNNNNNNNNNNNNNNNNNNNNNNNNNNNNNNNNNNNNNNNNNNNNNNNNNNNNNNNNNNNNNNNNNNNNNNNNNNNNNNNNNNNNNNNNNNNNNNNNNNNNNNNNNNNNNNNNNNNNNNNNNNNNNNNNNNNNNNNNNNNNNNNNNNNNNNNNNNNNNNNNNGAAAAAGUGUUCUUAACGUGUUUUUUUAUUUUCAUCUUCAUAAAUCAAAUAACGUGUCAUCUUCUCUCCUUUGCAAAAAGUACAAUCAAACAUAAGUUUAUCUUCAACUUCCACUUUAUAAAUCUAAAUAAAUCAAAAAAUAUUUGAAAUCUAUUAUAAACUUCACUUAUGGAAUUCUUAGAUCUUGAGUAUAAAAAUCUUAAAGGAUGAUGUUAAGGGAAUAUACCUGAAGACAUUAUCACAAAGCAAAAAUGUUGAUUCAAAAAAUGUUUCUAACUCCUUCCUCUAACUUUAUGUUACCACCAACGGCAGCAAUGGAAAUGUGCGAAGAAAAUAUGUUAACCCUAAUGGGUGAAAAAGAUAAAUUUAUAGAGGUUUAGAUUUAAUCUGGCACGUCCAUCAACCAAGCCAUCUAAUGAUAGAUUGAGUCUUCAGUAGUUAUUAAUGAUGUACUUUACAUUAAUUGGGCCACACAUAAAAUAAUAAGAAGUCUAACAUUUUUCCACUUGGCCCAAUAACCACAUAACGCUAAUAUUUAAGAGAAAAUAUCAUAAAUAACAAAGAGAUUAAAAUUAAUAAGCCUCAUUAGCUACAAUUUACCUAAUUUUGCUCCAUAACUAUAGUUUCAUUUCCUAUGGGUAUUUCUGUUUGUAUAAUUCACUUGUCAAUAUACAAAUAGAGUAAGUCAGUUAGUAUAAUUUGCUUGUCAAUACACAAAAAAGGUAAGUAUAUACAAAUUAUGUAUUAAUAUGUUUAGAAUUUUUUCAAAACUUAUACAAAAUCAAAUGUAUAAACAAAUGUAUCAACAUGAUAUCAUAUACAAGUUAGGGUAAGCAUAUACAAAUUUUAGAUUUGUACAAUUAUGAACUAAAUUAUACAAAUUCUGAAUUUAUACAAUUAGGAGUCAAAUUAUACAAAAUUUGGAUGUGGCCCAUGUGAAUAUGGUUAUAUAUAUUAGCGACGAAAAGUAAUUUCUUCAAACUAUAGUUAUAUUAAAUAAUUAACUAGUAUUUAUUUGCUUAAUUGUAUAAUUUCCUCAAUAUUUAAUGAUACAUUCAUUAGUUACGCAUAAAACAAAUAUGUUCUACAUUAAUAUUCAUCAUACAUAUCAUAAUAUGACAAAUCGCUAAUGUGAAUUAUGGCGGCUAUACAUAAUAAUAUUAAGCUACAUACUCCGUUCCUUAUACUACAGCACUAGUACUUUAUCAUACCAAGUUCAUAAAAUAUAAAUACUAACCACAUUAAUAUUUUGUUGAGAUUUUUUCAGUAAUAUCUCAAUAUAAUAAUAAUAUAUAUAUAUAUAUAUAUAUCUUUUACUAUCUGAGUCUACACUCCGACUGAGACAUGGUACCUACAAUCACGAGUAAUUCCAGGUUAAUCUUUGGCUUAACAUAUCAGACAUAAUAUAUAAAACUAAGGCGAGAGCUUAUACAUAUUCUUGAAUGAACACAUCAUCUAGCUUCUGGUUCCAACUUUUUCACCGCUCUUUGCUCAGUGCUCACCAAAAAUCUUGUCUUUUAGCUUCAGAUUUUUUUUUUUUGUUUUUUUUUUUUCCAAAAACCAUGAUGAUUGAUUUUUCCCCUGUAGUUGUAAAUGUUAAUCUUUCGUAACUAUGAUGAAAUUUGGUCCGAGUGUCUUAAUUAUGCAAUUAUCAGUUUUAUCAUUUGUGACUUCAUAUUUUCUUCUUCUUUUUUUUAUUUGGGUUUGUUGUUGAUGUUCCUUUUUUGCAUCAUUAUAGCUUCAACUUUUGGUUUUUUACUGUCACACCCCGAGGCUACCCCCUUGGCGUAACACGGGAUUUAGAAUCACGAGUGACCCCAAGCUAAUCAUGUGUCUAGCAUAUCAUAAGUAUACUCGAAAUAACUAAGUAAGACAUGAACUAUGCUGAAGCUAAAAAAAAGUUAUCUGAAAAGUGGGGAAUACCCAACUAGUCUGAAUGUAUAAACCAUACUAAAAGUUUAAUAACAACUGAAAGAGAAAACAUAACAAGUCAAGUUGAUAAUACUAUUAUGUCUGAAAAGCCUCUAGCUGAGUUAAGUAGCUGGAACAUGACCCCCAACUAACUCUAACAAAACUGAAAAAAUUGAAAAUAAAGACUAUAAUGAAAGCAUAUCUAUUGUCCUCGGAAUAUAAGGACUCACCACUAAAGCUACUGAAAUGCGAACCGAGAAUCGAUCUAAGCUCGAUCUGGAUUCUGAGUACCUGAACCUACAUCAUGAAAGGAUGUAGUGCAGAGUAUGCGUUAAUACUUGGAAUGUACUGAGCAUGCAUGAUAUAGAUACUAAGCUAAAUAAAUAUAUAUAAGCUGGAAAAAAAACAUAACUGAGCAAGAAUGUAAAUACUGAAACAUAACUGAAAAGCUAAGUUAAAUGUAAUGACCAAGUACUAAUCAUGAAAAUAGCAUGCUAAACUGAAUGCUGAAGUAUAUACUGAAAACCUGGUCAAAUGCACUAAGAGUCUGAUUGUGGGAGCUACUAUUAACCAACAUAAAACCACGUGAGCUAAACAUGGAGUCCGAUGUACACGCCCCAUCGAGAGGACACAAUAUAUCUUGCAAAGGGUAUAAAGGCAUGAUUAGCGUGAUCACUAAAUCUAAUGCCCAACAGAGGGGACAUAUACUCCUGCGGGGGCAUGUAGUUUUGGGACUAUUAGGUACGUUGAACCCUAGUCCAACUCAUUGCUAAGUCUACUCCCAACUGAAUAUGUAUAUGACAUAAAUGUAAUUGAAAUGCUAAAUUACGGAAUAGUUCAAAAUACUGACAUACAAUCUGAGAAUGCAACAUUUAUAUAUUGAUAAUGUAACAUUUGAAAUCUGGAGCAUGAUUAUUUGUUUAACGGACAUAGCAAGUGUAAUUCAUGAACUAGAGAAUCUACACAACUAGGGUUUUGAGUUUCAUACAAGGAACUAAACCAACUUUCCAAGAAACAUGCUCUUUCGAUUUAGGAAACCACAAUAGCUAAAAUACAGUAAAUAUCCAAGGUUUUAGAAACCCUAGGUUUAAACAAGAUAUGGAGAAUCAAAGAACUGACUGAUUUCUAAGGACCUAGUGGAUGAAAGGAACCCACUAGUGAAAUCCCACAUACCUAGUAAUGAAAUCUACGAAGAAAUUCUUUGAUUUUGGGGUUGAACUUUGAAGAACACUGUUGCUUGUUCUUGGAAGGUUUGGUCGACUUUUUCUCUUCUUUUUGCUCCAAGUUUAGAUGAUUUUUGGAGAAUGAGGGUUUUGGGUAAGUCUAACUAAGUUAUUAGGCUUAGACUGAGUAAAAUGAUGUAGUAUAAGGUCCUCAACGCAUAGGAAAAAGACCUAAAUGACCCUAACUUAAAAGCUGACGAAGGCCAUCCACGGAGGGACCUACUAACCGUCGUUUGGACUACCAAUCUUCGUCAGUGGUCUUGGUUCAUGGUCUGCCCGACAGGGCUUCACUAAAAUGAGCAUAAAUUUUUAUUCUGCGACAGGAUUUUAGCAAACUCGGUGGCAUUAGAAAGAUGAUUCAAUUAUCUUUAAUUUGAUAAGUCAUGGGCCACCUAAUUCAUUCUAAAAUAUAUGAUCAUUUGAAGUUGACCCAACAACCAAUUCCCUCCAAUUGGUUGCUGACCCUCACCUACGAUUCGUAGAUCCUACCACGGACCGUACUAAUAGACUAUGGGUGGGAUUAGAGAUCAUCAAUAUUUGGGCCAUAACGAAGAAACCCGAUCUACGGUCCGUGGUUCUACCUACGGUCCGUUGGUGGUUCCGUCGGUACUGGUACCCAUUUUUUUGACAAUUAAGAUUUUCUUUAUUUUGAGCUUUGAGGUGUUACAUUAUCUCCCCCUUGGAACAUUCAUCCUCGAAUAAAAUCUAAACAAUCUAAGUAUGGAGGGAAGGAGUUGUAAUCCCUACCAUUAAGUACUAGAAACUAAUAUCUAACUUAACUGAGUUCCAAGAACAUGCAAAUAUGCUGAAAUUAAAGAACAACUAAAAGAAUAGGAUACUGAGACUGAAUUUAUGCAGGAGUAAACUAAGAGACUGGAGAGGAACUAUUACAUCAAGCUGAAACGGAAUCAAAAGGAAAGAAGUGAAGAUACUUGGCCUUCACGGAUGCUUCUGCUUCCCAAGUAGCUCCCUCUACGGACUGACUCCCCCACAAAACCUACACUGAAGCAACUUCCUUAUUUCUCAACCUACGAACCUGACGGUCAAGAAUCUCAACUGGCAUCUCUUCAUAAGUGAGAUUAUCCUUCACAGCCACUCUCUAAUGAUACUUUUGAUGCCGGAUCACCCACACACUUCUUCAACAAGGAAAUGUGGAAGACUGAAUGAACCGCUGCUAGUUUUGCUGGCAACUCUAACCCAUAAGCCACAUUACCAACCCUUCUAAAGAUUUUAUAAGGACCUACAUAUCUAGGACUGAGCUUGCCUUCCUUGCCAAAUCUCAUCACCCCCUUCAUAGGUGACAUCUUCAGGAAAACCCAAUCUUCGAUUUCAAACUCUAAGGACGACUUUGGGUUGUCUUUAGUCUAUCUUUGAAGAGCCUAACUUUUUCCAUAGCCUUAUGAACCAAAUCUGUCCCUAUCAAGGCUGUUUCACCUACUUCAAACCAACCAAUCAGGGACCUGCAUCUAUGCCCAUAUAGUGCCUAAUACGAGGCCAUCUGAAUACUGGAAUGAAAGUUAUUGUUACAUGAGAACUCUAUGAGAGGUAGGUAAUCAUCUCAAUUACCCUUGAAAUUGAUCACACAAGAUCUCAACAUGUCCCCUAAGUUCUGAAUGUUACGUUCUACCUGACCAUCCGUCUGUGGAUGAAAUGUUGUACUAAGAUUUACCUGAGUACCAAGACCUUUCUGAAACGAUUUCUAGAAAUAAGAGGUAAACUGAGGGUCUCUAUCAGAAAUGAUAGACAAGGGAAUCCCAUGUAACCUGACUAUCUCAUAGAUGUAGAGUUUGGCAUAGUCCUCCGCUGGCUCGGUAGUCUUGACAGCCAAGAAGUGAAUGGACUUAGUAACUUUGUCUACUAUCACCCAAAUGGAAUCAUAUUGUCUGCAAGUACGAGGUAAACCCGUAAUGAAGUCCAUGUUUAUAAUUUCCCACUUCCAUGUAGGAAUGUUAAUCUCUUGAGUCAUACCUCUUGGUUUCUGAUGUCUACCUUAACUGGUUGACAGUUAGAACACUUAGCCACAAAAUCUGCUAUGUCCUUCUUCAUGUUGUUCCACCAAAAGACUUCCCGUAGAUCACGAUACAUCUUAGUGGCACCAGUAUGAAUGGAAUACCUGGAGUUAUGGGCUUCUGUAAGGAUCUGCUGCCUCAACUCACCCAUAUUAGGAACGCAUAAGAGACCCUGGUAACGAAGUACACCAUCUCCCCCUUGGGAAAAAACCUCAACUUUCUGCCGGCGAAUUACACCUUUCAAUUGAAGUAAUAUAGGAUCACAAUCCUGUUUUUCCUUAAUCUCCGCUAACAAUGAAGAUUCUGAUCCAUUCUGAACUAUCACCCCACUAUAUAAUGUGUCCGUAAGGCAAACUCCUAAACAAGCAAGCCGAUGAACAUCUUUGGCUAGCUCUUUCCUUUCUUCUUCAACAUGUGCUACACUACACAUAGACAGUUUGCUAAGAGAAUCAACCACUAUAUUCGCCUUACCAGGAUGGUAAAACACAUUCAUGUAUCAUUCGAAAUCUAGAGCAUGAUUAUAUGUUUAACAAACCUAGCAAGUGCAAUUCAUUAACUAGAGAAUCUACACAACUAGGGUUUUGAGUUUCAUGCAAGGAACUAAACAAACUUUCAAAGAAACAUGCUAUUUCGAUUUAGGAUACCUCAAUAGCUAAAAUACAGUAAAUAUCCAAGGUUUUAGAAAUCCUAGGUUUAAACAAAAUAUGGAGAAUAAACGAACUGACUGAUUUCUAGGGACCUCGUGGAUGAAAUAAACCCACUAGAUACCUGGCGAUGAAAUCUACGGAGAAAUCUUUUGAUUCCAGGGAUGAACUUUUAUGAACAUUGUUGCUUGUUCUUGGGAGGUUUGGUCGACUUUUCCUCUUCUCUUUGCUCCAAAUUUGGAUGAUUUUUGGAGAAUGAGGGUUCUAGCUAGUCUGACUAAGUUAUUAGGCUUAGACUCAGUAAAAUGACGUAGCUUAGGCAUUAAACAACGUAGUAUAAGGUCCUUAACGCAUAGGAAAACUAUAUAAAUGACCCUAACUUAAAAGCCGACGAAGGCCAUCCACGGAGGGAUCUACGUACCGUCGUUUGGACUACCAACCGUUGUCCGUGGUUGUGGUUCGUGGUCUGCCAUACAGGGUUUCACUAAAACGAGCAUAACAUGUUACUCCGAGAUGGAAUUUUAGCAAACUCAGUGGCGUUGGAAAGAUAAUUCAAUUAUCUUUAACUUGAUAUCUCAUGGGCCACCUAAUUCAUUAUGUACUAAAAGAUAUGACCGUUUGAAGUUGACCCAAUAACAAAUUCCCUCUAAUUGGCUGCUGACCCUCACCUACAGUCUGUCGGUCCAACCACGGAUCGUACUAGUCGACCAUGGGUGGGAUCAGAGACCAUCAAUAUUUAGGCCUUAACGACGAAACCCCAUCUACGGUCCGUGGUUGAGCAAAAAGUUCACUCCAUAUGAGGCUCGUUACACUCUUUUGGAGAGAACAUGUUGUGCUUUGACUUGGAUCGCUCAAAAGUUGAGACAUUAAUUGUCUUCUUAUACCACAUACCUUAUUUCCAAGAUGGACCCGUUGAAGUAUAUUUUCCAGAAAGCAAUGCCGACCGGGAAGUUGGCUAAAUGGCAAAUGCUUUUGAGUGAGUUUGACAUUGUGUAUGUGACUCAAAAGGUGAUUAAAGCCCAAGCCUUAGCUGAUCAUCUUGCGGAGAAUCCAGUUGAUGAGGAGUAUGAACCGCUCAAUACUUAUUUUCCCAACGAGAAAGUUUCAUUUGUGGGUGAAGAUAUUUCUGAAGCCUACCUUGGUUGGAGAGUAUUCUUUGAUGGAGCGGCAAAUCACCAAGGGAAAGGUAUCGGAGCGGUCCUAGUGUCAGAAUCUGGUCAGCUUGCAUCCUAGGUCUAAGGAUGGCCAUUGAUAUGAAUGUUCACGAGUUGCUGGUUAUUGGAGAUUCAGAUUUGUUGAUUCAUCAGGUCCAAGGAGAUUGGGCUGUGAAAAAUCCAAAGAUCACACCGUAUGUGCAGUAUAUACGGAAGUUGUGCAAGAGAUUUCGCAAGAUUGAGUUCAGGCACACUCCCAGUACACAGAAUGAGUUGGCCGAUGCUCUUGCCACCAUCGCAUCAAUGAUUAAGCAUCCAGAUACAAGUUAUAUUGAUCCAGUGGAUAUAGAGGUAAAGGAGCAGCCUGUCCAUUGUUCACAUGUUAAAGCGGAACCAUAUGGUUUGCCUUGGUAUUUUGAUAUCAAGAAGUAUUUAGAGACCGGGACUUAUCUUGAGAAUGCAACGUUCAAUCAGAAGAAGUCGAUAUGUCGUAUGGUCCUCAAUUUCUUUGCAAGUGGAGAAAUCCUUUAUAGGGGGACUCCAGAUUUAGGUCUUCCCAGAUCCGUUGAUGCUAGUGAAGCUGCAAAGCUUCUGGAACAAAUACAGGCCGGAGUUUGUGGUACUCACAUGAAUGGACUCACUUUGGCGAGGAAGAUCCUCUGAGCCGGUUAUUUUUGGAUGACUAUGGAGCAUGAUUGUUGCAAGUUUGCGCAGAAAUGUCAUAAAUGUCAAGUACAUAGUGAUUUGAUUCGAGUGCCACCUCACGAACUCAAUGCUAUGAGUUUGCCUUGGCCGUUUGUAGCUUGGGGAGUGGAUGUCAUUGGUCCAAUAGAGCCAGUCGCCUCUAACAGACACAUACUCAUUUUGGUUGCCAUUGACUACUUCACCAAGUGGGUGGAAGCAACUUCGUACAAGUCGGUAACCAAGAAAGUUGUAGCUGAUUUUGUUCGCAACAACCUGAUUUGCAGGUUUGGAGUACCAAAAUCCAUCAUUACUGAUAAUGGAGCGACUCUUAACAGUCACUUGAUGAGAGAGAUAUGUGAACAAUUCAAGAUUACUCACCAAAACUCAACCGCCUAUAUUCCCCAAAUGAAUCGAGUUGUAGAAGCCGCCAACAAGAACAUAAAGAAGAUUUUGAGGAAAAUGAUUGAUAAUCGCAGAGGUUGGCAUGAGAUGUUGCCAUAUGUUUUAUUGGGUUACCGAACGACUAUUAAAACACCUCUCAAUGCUCUAACGCCCACACCGGAUAUUAAGUUGGAGCUACUCCAUAUUUGCUAGUAUAUGGAACAGAAGCAGUUAUACCUGCGGAAGUUGAAAUACCUUAAUUGAGAAUCAUCCAAGAAGCUGAAUUGAGUGAUGCUAAAUGGGUUCGCAAGUGGAUUGAUCAGUUAACAUUGAUUGAUGAGAAAGAAUGGUUGUUGUUUGUCAUGGACAACUGUAUCGGCAGAGAAUGAUUCGUGCUUUCCACAAGAAAGUAAGCGCUAGAAUAUUUGAAAUUGGUCAGUUAGUUCUCAAACGCAUUUUCCCUCAUCAAGAUGAGUACAAAGGGAAAUUUACACCAAAUUGGCGAGGACCCUACAUGGUUCGCAAAGUGUUAUCUGGAGGUGCCCUGGUCCUGUCGGAGGUGGAUGACACUGAAUGGCCGAAAUCGAUCAACUCAGAUGUUGUCAAGAGAUACUACGUGUGAAGCUUCAGUUUGUAUUUCUGUUAUUUCCUUGCAAUCGUUCCAUUUGCUUGUAUUUGCUUUGCUUAGAAUCUAUCCCUAUGUAAUGAACUAUGUCUGACCUGAAUUCUCAAGAAUGAGAUACGUUGGCGGCCUAUGUCAGCCUCGGUUGGUUUCUUUGUAAAUAUAUUAUUUUUGUUAAUCCUCGAGAAGGAGAACUACGUUUGACCUGAUUCCUGCCUCAACGGGAUACGUAGGUGCCACAAGGGCUCGAUCAUAUCUCCCGAAAGAUUUUUAUUUUUCUUUACAAUAGAAAUUGGGAUAGAAUUUUUGAGAGGGACUCAAAAAAUCUCGAAAAGAGGAUUUCUUCAACAAGUCAAGACUGAGAAUGCGUUGAUAACUGCAACUGUGACAAAAUUUUGAGAGGGUCUUAAAAAUUCGGUGAUUUGCUCACCAACGGUUAAAGAUAAGUCAAGACAAUUAACUGGGACAGAAAUUUUGAGGUUGGCCUCAAAAUUUCCACAGGGUUUAUCGGCAGUUCAGAGCAACUUUGAAUACUUCCCAACAAGUAAUUAGAUAGAUCUCGAAACAUCAACUCCAAUGGCGUUCAUUAAACUCGACGUGACAUGACACUUGGCAGUGACCUUUUUCAAACAUCACUUUUGAAAAUCUAUUUUCCUUAAAAAACUUUUCUUUCAUGUUUUUAUUAUUUUGGCAUAAAAAUGUUUUGUCUUAUCUAUCAAGAAGCGGGAGAUCAGAAAAAUCAACCGGAGAUAGCAAGACAAGGAGCAGACCACCGAAGAGAUCAACACAGAUCAGUUCAUUUUUUAAACUGACAAUUUUUCUAUGGAUGCAGGUCUAUAGGUUGCCUCAAAAUCAGCAUAUUAUUUCAUUCAAUGAAUACGGAGAAGUUAAAAGGGCGAAGAGCUCCCCAAAAUUGACAAUUUUUUCUGUGAAUGCAGGAAAUGAUUUAUGCUGCUUAUAUUAAAAAUGUUGAAAUAUGAAUAACAGUAUUUCAUUCAAUUCCCAACAAGGCGAGGUCCAUAAUGAAUAUGCAAAUAUGUUCAGGGCUGGAACAAAUGAAAACCUCGAAGAAAGAAAUUUUAUUUGUUUUCCAGCAACUAAAGAAACUUGGAGGACAUUAUCUGCAUCAUAUUAUCAGAUAUGAUGAUAUUCUUACCUUGAAGGUUAUUUAUACUGUAUUGUCGACUGAGAUAAUACCACUACUUGGAGAGUUAUUUAUAUUGUAUUGUCAAAUGAGAUGAUACCGCUACUCCGAGGGUCAUUUUUAUUUAUAUUGUCAAAUGAGAUGAUACCACUACUCUGAGGGUCAUUUUUAUUUGUAUUGCCGAUUAGGACAAAACUGCCACCCAGAAGAUACCCAGAAGAUCACUUAUGUUGCUUGGUGAAGCAUUAUCUUCGUUCGGUAUCAGGGAGGCAUCAAGAGAAAAAGGCAUGCAUCGCAAGAAAAGAUUCAUGCAUUACAAGAGAAGAAUUCAUGCAUUGCAAGAAAUUCAUGCAUCGCAAGAAGAGAUUCAUGCAUUGUAAGAGAAGAUUCACGCAUCGCGGGAGAAGGAAUUCAUGCAUCGCGGGAAAAAGAAUCAUGCAUCGCGGGAGAAGGAUUUCAUGCAUCGCGAGAAAAGAUUCAUGCACUACAAGAGAAGGAUUCAUGCAUCGCGAGAAAAUAUUCAUGCAUUGCAAUAGAAGAAUUCAUGCAUUGCAAGAUAAGAUUCAUGCAUCGUGGGAAGAGAUUCAUGCAUUGCAAGAGAAGAUUCAUGCAUCGCGGGAAGUGAUUCAUGCAUUGCAGGAGAAGAUUCAUGCAUCGCGGGAAAAAGAUUCAUGCAUCGCGGAAGAAGGAGUUCAUGCAUCGCGAGAAAAGAUUCAUGCAUUACAAGAGAAGAAUUCAUGCAUCGCGAAAAAGAAACCAUGCAUCGCGAGAAAGAGAUAUAUGCAUAGCAAGAAAAAGAGCCAUCCAUAGCAAGAGAAAAGGUCAUGCAUCACGGGAAAGCGAUUCAUGCAUAACAAGAGAAGGAUUCGUGCAUCGCGAAAAAGAAGUCAUGCAUCGCGGAAAAGAGUCAUGCAUCGCAGGAGAAAAGAGUUAUGCAUCACAGCAGAAAGAUUUACCCAUUACAAGAAGAUCAACAUCGACUGCAUCAUUUUUCUUUGCAACAACGACAUCAAGAGAAUUAUCAACAUAUUACAUCAGCCUAUUUUGUUACUUUGACGACAAAAGAAGAGUACAUUGAAGAUUAUAUCACAAAUAUGAGACAUAAACUUUAUUUGCUUUAUGUCAAACCCAAUAGAGUUGACUUCAGAUGUUCAAGGAGAGCAAUUAAGUGUCAACACGGUAAAAGACAUUGUCUCCCAUUUGAGUCGCAUCUUUUAUGUUAAUGAGUUUUAUCUCAGUCUUUGUCGAGAGCAUCCGAAAGGAUGAAUUCUCAAAGCAAACCACAGGUGCGGACGACAUCAAAAAGGAUGCAGCACAACAUGGAACAUUUUCUUAGCAGCGAACUGGGACAUAGUCCAAAGAGGAGUGUCAAACUCUUAGGACGCGAGCAGAGGAGCGACUUCCACCACAAUCAAACCACACCCCUAUCAGAAGGCAUGUGGGUUAUCUUUGGAUUUGUUGAUUUCAGUUUCAGAUCCAAAAAAUUUGGUAUCUACCGGAAGCAGCUUUCCAGUCUAAGUGACAAUGCACCAAGAGCUUUGGAAAUUAUGUCCGUGUAAGUUUUAAUUAUGGGUGUGAAGUGCACAACAUUCAUGGCUAAGAAGUUGCAAGCCUCUUUUUCAUAACUCGACUUACUUUGUCACUUUUCCAGAACUGAAGGUUAUCCUGCAUAAUAGAUUUCCUUUUCAAUCGAUUGAGUCGAACUACAAGCAGCCUGAUUCCCUAACUUGAGGGAUAUGUAGGCAGCAUCAGUGUUGAAACUCGGUUGUAUUCCAUCAUUGAUUCUUAAAUCUUAUUCUCGAGCAUUCCGGUCCCUCCAUAAUUCAGUGUCAAGAUGGCUUUUGAAUUCUUUCAAAAUCAUGCGUCAAAUCGAGCCUAUCGAACUACAAAUGGCCUGAACUCUCAUAUAGCCUGAGAUAUGUAGGAGACCCAUUUCCAGGGUUCAGCCAUAAUUCCCAAAGUCCGUACCAAAAUCCCUUUUUCAUAAAAGAUGAAGAUGUGGUCGGUCAAAAUUGGAUUCGUCAAUUUCAUUUUCCUCGAAUUUCUUUCACCAAUCCAAAUCAAAUGAGGGACAGUUGUUGACACCCAAAUUUGACCCUCCCCGAUAUUAAUUGAUCUUUGAGCUUCCUAAAUUCCAGGCGACUUGAAAUAAUUAGUUUUUAUAAAGAUCAAGUAUUUUUCAAGUUACUUUAAUUAAUUUUAUAAAUUUUAAAUAAUAUAUAUAUAUAUAUAUAUAUAUUUUGUAUAAUUUUGUAUAUAAUUAGUAUAUUUUAUAAACAUUUCAAAAAUCGUUUCAAAAAGAUUUUAGUUUUUACUUAAAAAACUUUAUUAACUUAAUUUUGUCUAAAUUGCUAUUUUAUAUUUUGGGUCUUUAGUUUUAUUUAGCUAAUUAUUUUGUUCCGUUAAAAUUAAGAAGCUCCUUAGUUAAUUAUAUCAAUUCGUCUUAUUUGAAUUACUAGCCGAACUUAUCCUAAUUAAUUUAGUUUGACUACAUUUUUAAUUCCCAUUUGGCUAUAACAUAAAUCCCUAUUGCCAAAGCUCAAAUUUAACACUAGCCUAUUGAUUUUAAGAGAAAAAACCAAUUAUUUGGGCCUAUCUUCUCCUCCAUUUUCCAGUAUUAUAUACCAACAAUACCAAAUAAUUUUUCAGCCCACCAAUUCAUUAGCCCCACAACCCACCAGCAGAUCCAAUUCAAUAUUCCUUCAGCCAAAUUCUUUCUUAAAUGGCCCAAACCACUACCAAUUCCAAAUCCAAAAAGACCCCACCAACAAUUCAUCACAACAAUCCAGCCAACAAUAGCAAACAGUACCCGAACGACCCCACCCCUGCAUCAUUUUUCUUCUUCGCGAAACCCAGCAGUAUGAGCUAAAAAUCGUGAGCAGCAGCCCAGUAGCAGCACCGACCCAGCAGAACGAGACCCAAAUUGCAAUCCAGUCCAGCAAAUUGACCCGGAAUCGGCAGUCCAAAAGCGUCAAUGACAUCUGCCUCACGUCCCUUUCAGUUGGUACAAACCGCAACAACAAAGGGAAGCACGCGUCUGUCCCAUAUCCUCUUCCGGAAUGGGAUGAAACUUCUGACAAAAGGAUGUUUGGCCGAUUUGGUGAAAGAAAUUAGGAGUUUGAAUUUCAAAAUAGGCCCCAUCUUGUCAAAGAUUUUUGAUCGUUUUCCCUAUUUCUUAACCUUAGUUUCCUUCUAUAUAAUGGCUUUUAUUCAUUGUAGAAGAAGGGGGGAAUUUUUUGUGAGAUUUUUCGGAGUGAAAAAUACAGAGAGAGUUUGAGCAGAAAAUUUUCAAAGACGUACUGCAGAAUACAUUUCGAAAGAAAAGAGAUAAUAGUUCCGAUGUUUGGUCAAAUUUUUGCUUGUAUUUUUUUGUCCGCGUGAGUUCAUCAGAUUCGUCGUUUGUGGUGGUGGAAGCUCAUCGCCUCUUUCUCGUCCCGUCCCCGCUAGCUGCCCAUUGAGAGCCAACUAUAAAAAUCGACGAACAUGUCUCGAAGGUGGAAAAAUGCGAAAGUGAAGGAGAAUUGAAAAUUUGUAUUUUGUUAUUGUUGAACCUAAGCUUAUUUAGUCAUUAUGUUUAUUAUUUUAUUAGAAUUUAGGGCAGGUGAAAAUUUGAGCCUAAGGCCCAAAGAAAAAUAUUUCUUCUGCGUUAGUAUAGGAUAGGUGCAGGUGACUUAAAUGGGCCGAAGGCCCAAAAUGAAAAUGGACCCAAGUACUGGUCUAGGCGGACAAAAAAAACCAUAAUUGGGCCCAAAUCUCUUUCCCUCUUUGUUUUAUUAUGUUUAUUUACUUGUUAAUAUUUGUCAUUAAUCUUAAAAAAAAUAAAAAUAAUUGCAAAUUAUCUCACUUAAAUAGUAUUCUAGUAUUCCCCCCCCUCCCCCUUUUAAAAUGAUUCUAAAAAUUGUUCAAUUCAAAUUAAAUCAAACGAAUUUAGUCAAAUAAUUAAUUGCCGGAUAACCGCGUAUUAUCGGGCAUUUUGGGUGCUUUCAAACCCUUCUCGAAAUGCUAAUAUGAACACCGAACCCCUUUGAAUAUUUUCAUUAGAUUUCUGUUUUAAUCUUUUGAAAAAGUGGUUUUCUUAAUUUUCUCUUAAAAAUUAAGUGGUGACUCUUAAACCAAUCUAAGUAUGUUUUUAAAUUAAACAGCAUUUACAAUCAAUACCUCCUCAAAUAUUCUGCCCAAUGUGUCCUUUGUAUAUGACGCUAUUUCUCUAUUUUUUAUAGUUCCAAGAACCAAAUAGAAGUCUAGCCUCUAAUAAGAAAUCUAAUAUAGGUAAUUGACGUGCCUCAACAAGGCAACCAUUGAUACAUUCUGCGAUGUUCGAAGUCAUCAUUUUACCUAUGUUUAUUGUUGAUUGAACUCUCGACCACUUCUUAUACCCAACAUCCUCAAGAUAAUCCUUCACCCUAUGAUCAACUUAUACCACCUUAGCCAUUAAUUUAUCAAAAUCCUCCUUUCGAUAUGCCUUUGCCAUUGAGUAGAAUAUAUCAUUUAGUGUGUUUUUGCUCAUUUUGAAGUUUGAACAGACAUUCAUCCAAAUGUGCCAUAUGCAUGCACAAUGAGGUACAUUUGGGAACACAAUGCUUACACUCUUCAUAAUACUUUCAUUUUUAUCUGAUACAAUACACAUGUUUUCAUGCUCACCAAAUGCAUUUUUUAAUUGUUCGAAGAACCAUGUCCAGGAACAGUCAUUUUAAGUGUCUACAACACCAUAUGCCAACGUCAAUACGCAACUUAAUUACAAAGAAAAACACAUUUAACUACUUGAUACAUAACAUUUACACUAAAGAUACAUUAAUUAUACAUAUAAAACGAGUUCACAAUUAUAACAGUAUUACAAAAGUCACACUUGCACCAUCGAGUGUGCUCGCUGAUACAAAAGUACCUUUGUAAGCCCCGCCAAGAUGUGCACCGUCCACUACAACUACAAGUCUGCAGUAGUCGAACCUUCUCAUUAAUGGCCUCAAGGCUUUGAAAAGAUGCAUGAAUUCAUUAUUUUCUGACUUGUGAAUCCAUAUUUAUGAAUUUGAAUACACAGUAUUUAGCAUGCAUAUGUAUCUCGGCAUGUGCCUAUAUCCAUCUGAUGGUUUACCCCUUAGCAUUUCUAGUGCACGUUCCUUAGCACGCCAUGCUUGCUGGUAUGAUAUUUCAACCCAUUAGAAUUUUCGAAUAUCUUCAAUUACAUCUUUCGGCGUAUGAAUUUGUUUAUGAUUUAGCAAUUUAGGGGCAGCCACACAACUAAUAAACCCAACUGUUGCUUGUACUUUUGUUAGUAUCCUAUCCCGCAUUGGACACGUAUGUUCACUAUUGAAUUAUCUCACUUUGAAUACAUCAGAUUUCUUUAUGCACGAAGCCUUUAAACUCCAGCCACAUUCAUCACUGAAGCACACUAACACAUACAUGUACAAAUAUUUUUAUCAGAUUAAUUCAUAUAACAUAUACAUUUCAAAUAUACAAUGUUACAGUGUUUCAUAACUUGUCACAUAAUUAUCCACAUUAAUGUAUAAUCCAUAAUAACGACCACACCAAUUUUUUUACAAUAUUUUUAUGUAUUAGAUUCACAAGUUUAUCACGAUACACCUAAUCUAAUAAACAAUACUAAUCCUACUAAUAAUCAUUACCAAUUUGUUCAAAUCUCAAACACUAACAAACUUAUCAAUAUAAUACAUAUACUAAUUAUACUUAUGUAUCACACACAUUAGAAAAUGGAAGUGUAUCAUCAUUCAUAUAUCUAGAAACUGAAGAAAACCAAUUCAAAUUAGAGAUCAAACACUUCAAUACCUUUUUCUAUAUGAUCUUUUCACUCUGAAAUUGAAGUUGUUCUUUAUUUAAUAUUUCACCAUUACAUCAAUGAGUGUUGCUUUAUCCUUAUACAACUGACCCGUCUUCACAUUUGUACUCUUGGAAUAAGUUAUGUAAUUUGUAGCAUUUAAUUCUGAAAUAUAAUAUGAAUCACAAAUUCUUGAUUCAAUCAUAGGAAGAGCUUCUGUAUCUCUUUUUGACCCUUCGACGCAUAGGAUUUAUCCGGAUCUACCAUCUAUAUGCAAAUUCUCUGUAACUUUCGAUCGAAUUCUGCUUCAUCUUCUCCAAGGAGUAACGAUCAGGAACGAUCUCCACAUUGUAGGUGAAUAGUUCGAUGAAGUCCUUAGCCUGAGCGUUCCAGCUAGACCACUGUCUCGUUUCAUGAGACGUAAACCAUUCUAGAGCCUCUCCUCUCAGACUUUGGCUAAAAAGCCGCAUUAACAAAGUUUCGUCUCUCCCAACUCCCACGAGUUGGUCACAGAAGGCCCUCAGGUGUGCUAAGGGGUUCCCCGAUCCUCCGAAGAUGUCGAAUUUUGGCACCUUGAACCCUUCCGGGAGGUCCAAAUUCGGAUGAAUGCACGGGUCUUCGUGACUCAACCCGGCGACCUCAGGAAUGCAGUUCAACUCCUUCAUGGCUUUUCUAAUUUCCUCCUUCAUAUCUAUCUUAGCAGUCUCUAUCUUUGACCUUCACUCUCUAUCCCUCUCCCUCUCCUCAUAGUGGUCGAGCUCCGAACCAUGGGCGUCAUGCUCGUUGGGGACCGAGAUUUGGAAAGUGGCUUUUUAAGGUAGGGGUGGAGCAAUUGAGGGGCUCUGGCCAUUUAAAGGGGCGCGAUAGUUUUGGGGGAAAGUCUGGGGGCUGGUAUACUGGUUUUGGUGAAGGAGGGAAGUGCGUGGGUUAUUAGCAUUUUGGCUGUGAGGGGGUAGACCAGUUUGGUGGUUUGCAUUGGGGGGAGGGAGUGGUGCUUGGAGGUUGGUAUUUUGAGGAGGGGGUGGUGUUUGAUAAGAGGCUGAGGCGAAAUGGGGGUUUGGGGCGGUAAGGUCAAUGAUGGAGGGAUUAUGAGCNNNNNNNNNNNNNNNNNNNNNNNNNNNNNNNNNNNNNNNNNNNNNNNNNNNNNNNNNNNNNNNNNNNNNNNNNNNNNNNNNNNNNNNNNNNNNNNNNNNNNNNNNNNNNNNNNNNNNNNNNNNNNNNNNNNNNNNNNNNNNNNNNNNNNNNNNNNNNNNNNNNNNNNNNNNNNNNNNNNNNNNNNNNNNNNNNNNNNNNNNNNNNNNNNNNNNNNNNNNNNNNNNNNNNNNNNNNNNNNNNNNNNNNNNNNNNNNNNNNNNNNNNNNNNNNNNNNNNNNNNAUAAUAUGACAUUGGACUUAGUAAAUUGGGCUCAUCUAUAGCCCAAAUCAAUUAAUUUUGACUUUAAUCAAAUUCAUAUUUAUUGGACUUGAAUAAUUAGCCCAAUUAUAUUAAUUCAUAAUUUAUUUGGACUAAUAUAUUCAUGAAUUUAAUAUAAUCCGAAUCAUUUUAUAAAUUUAUAUUUAAUAAAUUUUAAAUGAUUACAAAUGCCCCCUGCUUCAAGUCUUGCCGAGAUAUUUUAUCUUUUAAAGACUAGGCUUGAAGCAUUAAUCAGUUACUAAAUUGAUCUUGAGUCAAAUAAAAUAAACUAAUCAAUGCAAUUUAUUUAUUUAACAUUUCACCAAUUACUUGGAAGAUUCCAAUCAAUAUUAUACAUAUAUUGUCAAAAUUUCCAACAUAAGUAUAUACUUCAGAUGGUCUUUUGAACGGAGGAACCUAAUUUUAGGGCCCACAUUUUACUGCCACCGUUUCAUGUCUCCAAAGAUGUCAAGGAUUAGGCUACAAAUUAUUUCAACGCCACAAACCGUUCCUUAUUUUAUUCGAAGUGACCAAUCGCCUUAGUUAAAAAUGAAUUGUAAUUGAACUAGGAAUUGUAAUCCUACUCAAUUUCAUAUUCAUAUAUAUGUUUUAUUGUCUUAGCUGAAAAGGAAUUGUAAUUGAAUUAGGAAUCGUAAUUCCACUCAAUUUCAUAUUCAUAUAUCUUUUCUAUUGUUUUAGACGAAAAUGAAUUGUAAUUAAACUAGGAAUUGUAAUCCCACUCAAUUUCAUAUUCAUAUAUCCUUUCUAUUGUCCUAGCCAAAAAGAAUUGUAAUUGAACUAGGAGAAUGAUUUAAUUCCCAUCACAUGACAUCUAUAAAUAGGCACAUUGUCUCCACAAUUUUGUCUUCAAUUACAAAUUGUGAGCUACGAACCUAUGACGAAAGGGGCAUAAUUCAAGGUAACCUCCCUCCCUUUUCCUGAUUUUCGUCACUUUUUUAUAGUUUGACACGUCCGUCGUAGAAAAUUGAUAUCUCAUUGUAGAAAAAUUGAAAUCAUGAACGGUUUGAUUUUUCAGAAACUAGACUUCUCGAUCUCUAACAUAUCCAAAAUUCAGAAUUUAAUACCUUCAGAAUAUAUUUAUUUUUUUUGAUGAAUUUUUGAAGUUAGCUCUAGAUUCUGUCAUGCUGAAAAUUUCAGAUUUGUGUAGCUUUUCUAAAACUCUUGUGCAUGUACUAAUGUAGGAACAACGAAAUCACAAGACGCUUGAUUAUUUCGAAUCUAGACACAAAUGUCUAAAGCAUAUCCGAAAUUCAAAAUUUAAUACCUUCGGAAUCAUUCCAGAUACUAUUGCAAAGUCAACUUUAGAGUUUGGUGCACCAAAAAUUUCAGAUUUGUGCGAUGACACCAAAAAAAAAUUGUAUAUCGAGGUAGAAGUAUCGAAAUUGCGAUCCACUCGAUUCUACAAAAACUAGACACAAAAGGCCAUAACAUACACAAAAUUUAGGAUUAAACUCCUUUAUUAUUGUUCUAGACAAAAAAAAUUUGAAGUUAACUUUAAAUUCUGUCACAUAGUUGAUUGCAGAUUUUUUGUUGCCUCACAAAAUAUUUUAUAUCUUGAUGUUGGAAUGUCAUCACCAAAAAGGGUUGUGAUCGCUGGAUACUAUACUUCAAGGGUUUUAUUAUUACCAAGAAAAUAUUGUCUCAAGUCUAACCUAGUUAGCUUAGCAUAGCUUCUAAGUCUCAAACGUCUUGAUGGGUAACAAUCUCUCCUUUACUUAUAUCUUCUUUGUAUUGUCCUCUUUUUUGUGUUUUUUUUUUUGUAGAUCAACAAAAACAAUAUUUGUAUUUUUCGCGGAGGCUACACAAUAGAGAGCUUUAACACACAAGAAUUUGAUCUGGAGGUAUGAAGGGAUGUGUUUAACGUCUCUGUCUUGAAGAUCACCGACUUGAGGCUUUACUAGAAUACUGUGUUUAACGUCCCCACCUUGAAAAAAAAUACUACUCUCAAGGCGUUACAAGGUUCCGAAUACUUAACCGACUUGAGGCUUUACUAGAAUACUUUGUUUAAUGUCCCCACCUUGAAAACAAAUACUACUCUCAAGGCGUUACAAGGUCCCGAAUGCUUAACCAACUUGAGGCUUUACUAGAAUAAUGUGUUUAACGUCCCCGCCUUGAAAAAAAAACUACUCUCAAGGCGUUACAAAGUCCCGAAUACUUAAGCAUAAGGUGUGAAGGGAUAUGUUUAACAUCCCCGCCUUGAAGAUCAUUAACUUGAGGCUUUAUAAGAUCUUUUUAAGGAUAAAUCCGCGAAAAGACCAGCUUAAGGUGCAAAGGGACAAAUCUUGUCCACCUUAAGGCAUGGUCGGUUUUUGUUACUCCUGGCCCGCAAGAGUAUAAACUGUGUAUGGCAAAAAAAACAAUUUUUUUUUUAAUCUAAGGAUAAAUUUGUGAAGAGGUCAGCUUAAGGUGCAAAGGGACAAUUUUGUCCACCUUAAGGCAUGGAAAUUUAAAGAUCCGUUUAAGGAUAAAUCCGCGAAAAGGCUAGCUUAAGGUGCAAAGGGACAAAUUCGUCCACCUUAAGGCAUGGAAAUUCAACGACGUGCACAUUUGGAGGAAUUGGAGACUUCUACUUACAUACUUGAAGUCUUACUUGCACACUUAUAGGAUUCGAAUACUUCAACUUGUAUACUUAGAGGAUUUAAAUACUUCAACUUGUAAACUUAAAGAAUUUAAAAACUUCAACUUGCAUACUUGGCUAAAUUUAAAUACUUCAAGUCAACUGUUAAAGAAACACAUAUUUUAUCCAUUGACCCAUCAAUACUUCGUACAAGUCUAAAGUUUGAUAAAAUAAAAGAUAAAACAAAAUACUUAUUGUUUUAACUUUUAUGUGAGAUCAAGUGGGAACAUGUGGUUUUUUGUCACUCAUGCAACUGAACUUAGGAUAUAUUCUAAGCGCCUACGUACCUCAGUGAAGAGGAUCAAGUCACAACGUAGUUCUGGGGGAUUAAGUGAAAUUUUUUAUUUUAUUUUUUUGUUUGUGCCGUACACAGUUUAUACUCUUGCGGGCCAGGAGUGACAUGCAGUUUAGGCUCGUACCUUAAGGAGCAUCAUCUUACUUCAAGGGUAGUACCUCUUUAGGAAUUUUGAAUUAAUAGGACCGAUCCUUACGCCAUCUGCAUCAACAAGCUUAUAAGCACCAUGUGAAUAUGCUUCUUGUACAACAUACGGUCCAUCCCACUUUGAGGUAAAUUUUCCCCCAGACUUGUGCGAAGUAAUGAUGGGUCUUCUUACUGCGAGAACUUGGUCUCCAACUUGGAAACACCUCAAGCGAACUUUCUUAUUGAAAGCACGAGAUAGACGAGCUUGAUAACAUUCAAGGUUUUGUUGGGCUUCUAGCCUCUUUUCGUCAAGUGCUUCUAACUCAACAAGACGCAGUCAAGCAUUUUCUUCUUCAGUGAGCCCUUCUUGAAUAGCAAGUAUUAAGGAAGGUAUUUGACGCUCGAGUGGCAGGACUGCUUCAACUCCGAAAGCAAGUGAAUAUGGUGUUGCUUGAGUUGGUGUGCAGUAUGUUGUCCUAUAUGCCCACAAAGCUUCUUCCAUUCUUUCAUGCCAAUCCCGUUUGGACUUGGAGACAACUUUCUUCAGAAGGUUGCAUAGAGUUUUAUUGAAUGCUUCAUCAAGACCAUUGGCGGCGGCAUGAUACAUAGAAGAUUUACGCUGCUUGAAGCAAAAGAGAUCACAAAUUUUGUUCAUUACCUUGUUAUCAAAUGCCUUGCCAUUGUCCGUUAUUAUUUAGCGAGGGAUGCCGAAACGAUAGAUGAUAUUCACUCGGAUAAAAUUUGCAACAUUCUCUUUCUUCACUUCUUUAAGAGCAACGGCUUCAGCCCAUUUUGAGAAGUAAUCUGUUGCAGCCAAGAUGUACAAGUGUCCACCAGAAGAUUUUGGUAGUGGUCCCACAACAUCCAAUCCCCAAGCGUCAAAUGGCCAAGAUGCGAUAGUUGGGUGCAAUACUUCAGGCGGCUGAUGUAUGAAAUUUGCAUGAAAUUGACAAGCAUCGCACCUCCGAGCAUAAUCUAAGCAAUCCUUCACCAUGGUUGGCCAAUUAUACCCCAUUCUCUUUAUGUGAAAGUGGAGUUUCGGUCCAGAUUGAUGUGAUCCACAUACUCCUGAGUGUGCUUCUUGCAGAGCUUGAAUUGCUUCUUCCUCUCCCAAACAUCGUAAUAGUACACCCUCAAAUGAUCUUCUAUAUAAUGUUUCCUUGUAGUAAAGGAAACGAGGUGCAUGACGACAAAUGUCAGUCCUUCUCCUUAAAUCUUCUGGAAGUAUCCCAUAACACAUGUAGUCAAUAAUGGAUGAAUAAAAGGCAUAAACACAGAAAUUACCUGGAGGGUCAUUACAAAAUUGUUAACACUUUAGAAAACUUUGAUCUAGACACUUUAUGCAUCAUUUUCAGAAAUAAAUCAACAUUGCUAGAUCUCUUAUAAUUCUAUUGACAAAGUAUAGUAAACUUCAGUUGAGCUAGAGCAUAGAAAAGUCAAAAGAAGUCUAAUUACAUAAAUACAUAAAAAGUAAAAUGAGAAAUAGGUAGUAAAUGUUAAGCACCUGAAGAGUUCACAUUUCAACAUACAAUAGCAUCAAGUUUAGAACUUAGAAUUUUUCAUGGUCAUACUUCCACAUCUAUAUGCUGAAGAAUGAAUAGAUAUUCUUUAGGAUCGUCAAAAAUCACAAUUAAAAAUAAUGCAAAAAUUGACGGAUAGGGUCGUUGCAUGAUACCGAGGGAAAACCAAUGCAGUCCAUUGUGUUUUUUUUUUAGAUAGAAAACUGACAGACUCUUAGAAAAUCAACGAACGCUCAUCACGUUUUUGUGCAAAUAUUUAAAUUUUUCAAAAAUAUAAACGACGCAAUCCCUCAAUUAUUUUUCUUACAAAAAUCGAGGGACUCUGAUGAUUUUUGAAGUGCGAUAUUGUAGUGAUACAUUUCAUAGCUUACUAGUCACCAGAAACUAAUAAAGCAUGAAUGUAUGAGGGAAAAAUAUCUUAGCAAAUUAACCUUAAUAGGCACUCAACUGACCAUGUAAACUAAAUAUAGUUGGAGAAUAUAUAAUUAGUGUAUAUUUCAUGUAUACUAGUGAAUUUGGCCGAAUACUUAACAAAAAUCCCAAAGAACUUACUAAACUAGUUAAGAAAACAUAUUUUAGCAUUUCAAGCAUUUCUUAAUUGGAUAAAAUUUAACUUAAUAGGAUGUAAUAAAUUAACAACCACAAGAUAGUAAAUCUUAAUCAAGGAAUAAGUUGGCCCCAAAAAAUUCUAAAUCACACCACUAUAAGUCCAUUAUAUGUUACCUUGACAACAAGAAGAAUUGGAUGGGUAUGAAUUUAUAGAUCGAAGAAUUAGAGGACUAUAUAGAGCAAAAUUAUUUGACACAAAAACUAAGUAAUUUUGAAGGUGUUUCACAUAUUGGAUAAGUGAAUGCAUGUGAUACACUAUAUAUGCAAUAUAUGGUGGGUUACAUAUAUUGUUUUUUUGUGGACUUCUACAUACUAUUAAGAAUAAUUGUAUGUUGGUUGCUAUGGUCAAAAGGUUGACCCAAAUUAAUUGUUAUGUUUUAAGGUUUAAUUUUAAUGGGUCUAAAAGACACCUCACUAAGUAAGGGGCCUUAUGUGUAGCUAUCCAAAAGUAACUUCUAGUUUAAUGAUGUGCUAAAUUAAUUAUAAUCAUCAGCUCCGGAAUGGGAAGAGGAAACUCAUCUUUAGGACAUGCAUUAUUAAGAUCUCUAAAGUCAACACAUACUUGAAUUUGACCAUUCUUUUUCCUUACAGGAACAAUACUUGAAAUCCAUGUAGGAUACUUGACCUCACGAAUAAAGUCUGCCUCAAUGAGUUUGUUAACUUCAUUUUCUAUCAAUGGAACCAAGUCUGGCCUAAAGCGUCUUUGAGCUUGCUUAACAGGACGAGAACCAUUUUUGACUGCCAACUGAUGGACCGCNNNNNNNNNNNNNNNNNNNNNNNNNNNNNNNNNNNNNNNNNNNNNNNNNNNNNNNNNNNNNNNNNNNNNNNNNNNNNNNNNNNNNNNNNNNNNNNNNNNNNNNNNNNNNNNNNNNNNNNNNNNNNNNNNNNNNNNNNNNNNNNNNNNNNNNNNNNNNNNNNNNNNNNNNNNNNNNNNNNNNNNNNNNNNNNNNNNNNNNNNNNNNNNNNNNNNNNNNNNNNNNNNNNNNNNNNNNNNNNNNNNNNNNNNNNNNNNNNNNNNNNNNNNNNNNNNNNNNNNNNNNNNNNNNNNNNNNNNNNNNNNNNNNNNNNNNNNNNNNNNNNNNNNNNNNNNNNNNNNNNNNNNNNNNNNNNNNNNNNNNNNNNNNNNNNNNNNNNNNNNNNNNNNNNNNNNNNNNNNNNNNNNNNNNNNNNNNNNNNNNNNNNNNNNNNNNNNNNNNNNNNNNNNNNNNNNNNNNNCUUGUAGUCGAUUCUCCAAGUCGAUCAAAGACGGAAGGCUUUUUGUUGGGAGUAGCGACAUCAUCUUCAAAAGUUAUAUGGUUGUUGCUUGCCCUUCUUAUGGAAAUGCGAAUUGGUGGUGGUUGGCUAUAGCCUAGGCCUUCACGUGCUUGCCUAGUUGUAUCUUCUGAUGGGAGUUUCCCUAACAUUGAUGGCUCAUCAGGGUUGUAUCCAGCUUUCACAAAUAACUUGUAAGCGUUGGGAUCAAAACCUUCUCUUGUGCGUUUUGUGGAGAGUGCCACAUCUCGCACUUGAUUUCGAGCGAUUGAAUUUUCUUAUUGCAUCGAUCUGUCUGAUAGGAAGAGUUAGCCCUCUCAAUGCAUUUUCUUGAAGGUUAGAUGAUUGAUCUUCUUCUUUCUUCACUUUUGGAACAUAACGAAGCCCAGAAGUCAGCUUCUUCUUCGAAGACAUGAUUUUCCCUUCAUUAAGAAUUGGACAAGGUUCUUUAGUGUAAUUUUUUACCUUUUCAACAGCCACAUCGAUUCUUUUGCUUGUGAUCUUAUCAGACUUGAUUGAUUUGACAUCAUUAGAUUUGGCCCCUUUAACAACAUAACUUUUCAAAUAGAAUUUCGCAUCGGCAAAGUGUGUCUCAACUUCGGUGAAAGGAUUAUCAUCUGCAACUAUCUUCCUUUCAAUCCCGCCUUCAAGAUACUUCAAACAUUGAUAGUAAGAAGAUGAGACAAUUCUAUUCUCAUGUACCCAAGGUCUGCCAAGUAAUAUAUUGUACGACGUGUUUGCGUCAAUCAUAUGCAUCCAUGCGCUUGAUCGCAAAUCUUCCAUGUGGAUCUUUAAUUUAAUAGAGCCUAUGGACUUCUGCCCCCCUGAUUAAAACCUUGUAUCAACAGACGACUUUCACUAAGUUCUCCAGUCGUGAUGCCGAGUUCCUUCAAUGUGUGGAUAGGCAGAAUGUUGACUCCAGAUCCUUCAUCUAUUAAGAUUCUAUUUAUCUUCUUCUCUAGCACGUGACCCUCCAUAUACAAAGGACGAUUGUGUAGUGUUUCACCGAAUAGAAUAUCAUUAUCUGUAAAUGUGAUUUUUGUAUCACAUGUAUGUGCUUCUUGGGAAGAAGGUUCAAUAGGUGUUUCAGAAGGUGAAAGAGACAUCAUUGACGAGAUUUCCCUUGUUGUCUUUUCAUCGUCAUUAGGAGACACAUUUGGUGAUGAUUCACUCGUUGUUCCUUCUUUGUAAGUAGGAGGUACCUUCAUUGUUUCUGCUUUAUCAGCAUUGAAACAUGAUGUCUCGACAUUGUCUUGAGUAGACUUUAUGUCGAACGAACUCGGUAAGAAUUCCUCUAGAGUCACAGGACGUCGGGGUUAUUGGAAGUGAUGCACUUCUACUUUUGCCCUCUUUGGGCUCUUGAUUGAUUUCUGCUUCUCCAAUUUCUUCACCAUUUCCUCUAAUAGGUGGCUUGGAUGGUUCUUUUCGUAAGCUUGACUUGUUGCGUCUUCGCCUAGUUACAAGAAUCCAGCCUUCGUCACCAUCUAUAUCAACUUCCUUCUCCAAUGACUCUUCUUCAUUAUUUUCAGAGAUAUGUAUUUGGACCGGAUUGAGUGAGCCGAACGUGAUAGAGAUCUAGUUAGAACUAGCCUUCUCAUCAUCAAGGACAAUUUUCUUUUCGUUAACCAAUCGCAUCACUCUAUCCUUGAAGACAAAACAUUUUUCGAGAGGAUGGCUCACAAGUCUAUGAUACUUGCAAUAAUUUGGGUCAUCAGCUUUUCCAGCUUCAUCGGGUCGUUUCAUCUCUGGCAAGUCAAUGAGCUAUAACUCGAGCAACUCAUCAAAAAUCUCAGAAACGUCAGAAUCCAAGAAGGGAUAUUUUUUCCUUGCAUCUCCCUUAGUGUCGACUUUUGAUUUGAAUGUGCUUAGAAAGCCGUUCUCAUAUUUUGCUUUCAUGCCCUCAUUCGUAGUGAUCUUCGCAGGCGACCCAUUAACAUUCAUGGAUUCUUUAUUGUCAUUUCUAGGCACAAAUUUACUUCAUCUCUUGGGUUCCUGCUUGUCGCUUCCUUUUGCGAGGGUCUCGGACAUACGUCAUAUCUUUUCUGGCAGAGGACAUGCUUAACUCCAUAUCAUGAGCGCGAGUAUCUAGAUCUUCGAAGGAUUUUGGUUUUAUUCCUUGUAAGAUGUAAAGAAGCUCCCAGUGCAUCCCUUGGAUACACAUUUCUAUUACAAAAGGUUCACUAAGCCUAUCCCNNNNNNNNNNNNNNNNNNNNNNNNNNNNNNNNNNNNNNNNNNNNNNNNNNNNNNNNNNNNNNNNNNNNNNNNNNNNNNNNNNNNNNNNNNNNNNNNNNNNNNNNNNNNNNNNNNNNNNNNNNNNNNNNNNNNNNNNNNNNNNNNNNNNNNNNNNNNNNNNNNNNNNNNNNNNNNNNNNNNNNNNNNNNNNNNNNNNNNNNNNNNNNNNNNNNNNNNNNNNNNNNNNNNNNNNNNNNNNNNNNNNNNNNNNNNNNNNNNNNNNNNNNNNNNNNNNNNNNNNNNNNNNNNNNNNNNNNNNNNNNNNNNNNNNNNNNNNNNNNNNNNNNNNNNNNNNNNNNNNNNNNNNNNNNNNNNNNNNNNNNNNNNNNNNNNNNNNNNNNNNNNNNNNNNNNNNNNNNNNNNNNNNNNNNNNNNNNNNNNNNNNNNNNNNNNNNNNNNNNNNNNNNNNNNNNNNNNNNNNNNNNNNNNNNNNNNNNNNNNNNNNNNNNNNNNNNNNNNNNNNNNNNNNNNNNNNNNNNNNNNNNNNNNNNNNNNNNNNNNNNNNNNNNNNNNNNNNNNNNNNNNNNNNNNNNNNNNNNNNNNNNNNNNNNNNNNNNNNNNNNNNNNNNNNNNNNNNNNNNNNNNNNNNNNNNNNNNNNNNNNNNNNNNNNNNNNNNNNNNNNNNNNNNNNNNNNNNNNNNNNNNNNNNNNNNNNNNNNNNNNNNNNNNNNNNNNNNNNNNNNNNNNAACUUGAAUGCUUGAAUUCUUAAACUUGUAGCUUAUAGAGAAUUUUAUGGCGUUUGUACCACAAAUUUUCUCUAUUUUCUUGUUUAGAAUUUUCUGUCUUCUUUUUUGAAUUAUGAGGACCCAUAUUUAUAGUUUUAGAAUAGAGGAGUUGCGAUUGGAACAGGAUUCCCUUCGGCCAAUCAGAUUUAAGUGACAUGGCAUAUGGGCUUUAUGGAGCGGGCUUGUCAUCUUAGACAAAUGUCAUGGUCCUAUUGGCUUCUUGUUUGACUUGGCAUGCCACGUCAUUUGCCACUUGGCAUGCCACGUCAUUUGCCACUUGGCAUGCCACGUCAUUUGCCACUUGGCAUGCCACGUCAUUUGCCACUUGGCAUGCCACGUCAUUUGCCACUUGGCAUGCCACGUCAUUUGCCACUUGGCAUGCCACGUCAUUUGCCACUUGGCAUGCCACGUCAUUUGCCACUUGGCAUGCCACGUCAUUUGCCACUUGGCAUGCCACGUCAUUUGCCACUUGGCAUGCCACGUCAUUUGCCACUUGGCAUGCCACGUCAUUUGCCACUUGGCAUGCCACGUCAUUUGCCACUUGGCAUGCCACGUCAUUUGCCACUUGGCAUGCCACGUCAUUUGCCACUUGGCAUGCCACGUCAUUUGCCACUUGGCAUGCCACGUCAUUUGCCACUUGGCAUGCCACGUCAUUUGCCACUUGGCAUGCCACGUCAUUUGCCACUUGGCAUGCCACGUCAUUUGCCACUUGGCAUGCCACGUCAUUUGCCACUUGGCAUGCCACGUCAUUUGCCACUUGGCAUGCCACGUCAUUUGCCACUUGGCAUGCCACGUCAUUUGCCACUUGGCAUGCCACGUCAUUUGCCACGUGGCACCAAAAAUGGGCCUCUAGGAUGAGAUGAAUUUGGGCAUAGCAAAUUGGGCUCAUCCAUUGUAGCCCAAAUCAAUUAAUUUUAACUUUAAUUAAAUUCAUAUUUAUUGGACUUGAUAGUUAGCCCAAUUAUAUUAAUUCAUAAUUAAUUUGGACUAAUAUAUUCAUGAAUUUAAUAUAAUUCGAAUCAUUUUAUAAAUUUAUAUUUAAUAAAUUUUAAAUAAUUACAGUUGGUAUUUUGAGGAGGGGGUGGUAUUUGAUAAGAGGUUGAGGUGUAAUGGGGGUUUUGGGUGGUAAUGUCAAUGAUGGAGGAAUUACGAGCAGGACUUGAAGGCGGGUUUUGAGCUUGUUCCACAUUAGGAGGGGGGAUUUGAGCUGGAGGUCUUCCGUCUGGUUGAGCGUUGAAAGCAAAAAUUGGAGAAGGCAAAUCUUCUUUUCUCUGCAUCUCGACCCUCAUCUCAGCAAUUUGUUGCAUCAACUGCAGGAUCAGUUCAUUCUUAUCGACAAGGGCAGGCUGAGCCACCACGACAUCAGUAAGGCCGAUUUCUUUGUUGUUAUCACCCAUUACUGCUUUUUUCUUUUGUGAACUUUGACUGGGGAAGGAAUCUGUAGGACCUUUAGAUCUAGUGAAAUAAGAAUGAUCGGCCAGUGUAUCAACACAGAUCAGUUCUAACUACCUGUAGAGAAAAACAACUCAAAGGCAAAUCUAUUAGUAUUAGUUCUGGACGAAUAACACAAGAUAUCACAUAGAAGGCAUAUAAAUACAUAAGAGUUGUUUCGUUUGAGAACAUGUUAACCCAUAAAUAAUGGGGACUUAUUUUUUAAUAAACAGGAAUUUGCUCAUUUUAUUUUGAGGCUGGUGACUCAGAAAGGUUGAAUUGCGUUGAGCUAAGAUCUUCUUGCUGCAUCUCUCGCCAUCUGUUGAUGUGAGGUCAAUGUUUCUUUGUAGCAUGAAAGGGGGAAAAUAAAAAAAUUUAAAAGUUAGGGACGAGCCUUGGAAGGCUGCCUACGUAUCUCCAAAGGAGAAUUCAGGCCCAACGUAGUUCGAAUACACAAGAAAUUUUCAUUUUCAUUUAUUCAUUUCUGGUGAUUACAAGGAAAGUGAAAAACAGACAACAAAGCUCCUAAAAGAUAAAAUAUGCUUCCAUCUAAGUCAUUCUUCUUUUGAUUGUCGCAUUAAUCACGGGGGGUAAACACAUAUGCUUCGAGGGCAAUUUCUCAUUCCCUUCUUUCCACCGUCCCCGGAAAGGGGGACUAUAGACAAUUUCUUCCUCGGUAUCUUCUUCAGUAGCUCUAAGGUGAGUAUUUUCGGGACCACUAUUGGCUUCUUGAUUGAAGGAAGAGCAUUUUCCAUGUGACUUCCGAAGUGUCAUGGUUAUAUCUUUGUUGAAGACAUCGCGCUCCUUCCGCACAGCAACUGUCUUUUUACUUAUAACAUCGCAUUUUGUCAUAUUUGCUCCCAAUGUCGCGUCUAGUGCCGCAUUUGCUGCUCAUGCGACCGCGGUGGCAAACUCCACUUCUAUUCUCCUUUCUCUGGUUUCUUGGAUCUCUUGCCUGAGACGCUGCAAUUCCAUCCUCAAAUCCUCCGCAGUUAGCUCUAUGUCGAUACCCUUGCCUUUUUCCAUCUUAGCAGCAAUUUCACCUUUCCUGAAAUGAUAGAGUAAUAUUUUAGGAUUUGGUAGUAGGAUUUUAUUUCUGGCUGAGUAACUUAAGACUCAUGGAAUUUUUGUCGGACAUUUGGUAGUGACUUGUAUUUGGUAUUAGGGAAAUUUUCAAAAACAAUUCAGAAAGGAUUGGGCUAAAAAUGUCCUCAUUCAAAGCAACAAUAUCACAUAAAUAAUUAAAGCACAUAAGUAUAUAUCGCGCGUCCUAAACAAGUAGGGGGCCCUUUUGCACCAAGGGUAGGCCUAGCGUAUUUGAAAGAUGUAUGUGUAGAAUUGAACCAUUUUGUUACCUCCAAAGCAAAUUUCGCAUAUAAAAUUAUGUUCAAGAAGCGAAAAUAAGCAGGGAAAGUAGGAAAUAAACGAAAAACACAAAGGAAAGGCCCACGUAGGGAUCAUUUGAAAAGAUACCAAAAUACAAGAAAGGCAAGCCCAUGCAGGGGAAAAUAACAAUAAGUACAUAUAGAAAAACCCACGCAGGGGAGAAAUCCGCUAAGACUCUCCCGAUGGCCCAGCCUCUGAUCUGCUCCUCUUGUUUAGUGCCAUGAGAUGCUGAAGCUUAUAUUGAAUCAUUAGCAAGUAUCAUUCGCUCCGGCGGCCUUUCUCUUCCCAGUCUUCGAGACACAUUCUGCUUUUCUUAGCUCUAAUCCAUAAGUUAAGAUCUCCCAAAUCGCUUCUCAAGCUUUCUAAUUCUUAAAUUAUGCUCUCGAGGGCGUACUUGUCAUCCUCUUGCUUUCGGAGAAAUUUCUCGUGCAUUUCCUGGGCUUCUCUUCUUACCUCUCUUAGUUCUAUCAAAGUUUUGGACUCUUUGUUCUCCACACUGUGGUAACUGUUUGGAACUGGGGAGGAUAUACUUUGUAUAUUGCCCUUCAACCAAGCUUUGUAGGUUUCAUCGUACCCAGCGUUUGGACUCUUUGUCCUCCACACUGCGGUAACUGUUUGGAACUGGGGAGGAUAUAUUUUGUAUAUUGCCCUUCAACCAAGUUUUGUAGGUUUCAUCGUACCCAGCGUUAAAUCGGUCCGCGGCAAUGGUGCCGUUUCUCAUUUGUACUGCUCUUUUCCAUUCUCUCAGCAUCUCUGAAGCCUCAUGCACUCUAUCAUCCCCGAUGUCAAACAAUAGAUACGGUAGUAUGCUUCUAGGUGUGUAGUUUGUCUUCUUUCGAACUGCCUCAUGACUCGAAUGGGCGCAUACGGGCGGAUACCUCGAAUACCUGGUAGAGGAAGCACAAGUUGUUUUGUCACCCCAUACUAUGGCAUCUUUCGAGAUAAAACGGUUGAACAUCCACUGGAUAUUUUCUUGUCUCAACUUAGAGAAAAUUUGAGCCCAUCUUUCUCUAGUUCUCUUUUUUUCUAAGUAUGCCCAGAACAACAUGUCAUUCAAAUUCUUCAGAGCAUUAUGCUCAUCGAGGGUAUGGAGUUCUUGAGUUCCGUGUCUCUUUACCAAGUGACUCAUUAUCCACCAUUGGAGGAGAAGGUUACAACCCUGAAAGUAACAAUGCCCUUCCUUGCAUUUUCCCAAAGCACAGUACAUGUCGGAAAGGAUGACAGGUGCGAUAGGAUAAUACUUCACUUGUCCUUGGUUCUGAGGCUCGGGCCGUGUGGGAAAACCAUGGUGCCUAAUAGUGCGAUAGUAAAUGUCAAAGGUUUGAUCUUGUCCCAUUUUCUGAAAGUGACCCUGAACUCUUGGUUGUAAUUCGUAUAGAACCUCGCAUGCCCGAAUCUGACAUAGAGAUCCAUAAAAGAAACGUUAAAACCUUCGGCCCAGUAGGCGCAAUCCUUCUUAAUCCGAGCCAGUUUACAAUAUCCUCGAGGGUAGGCUUGUUAGGGAAUAGGAUGUUUUCCCAUUUUGUCACUCUUCCUUCAAGCCCUGUACCGACUGUGGCUAUUCCAUCCCGAAUUUCCUCAAUUAUCGGGGUAAUUUCCAUGGUUCCAAAUCGGAAUACCAUUUUCUCGUUGUCCCAAUAACCUGUGAGGACUUCAAUUAGCUCGGACCACCCGACCAUAUUGAUGAGUUCUGUUAGGGCCCCUAUAUAUUUGUUGAUGGCCCUUUUGUGAACCGUAGUGAGAUCGUUGUACCACAUCUUGAGCAAAACUGGGCUUCUACUACCAUGUCGAAUUUAGGAAAUUGAUCCAUACCUAAAAAAUAAAGCACGGUUAAGAUUUCCUCUCCCAAAUAGGAAACAAUCAGGUUUCCACACAUACAUCUUUCAAAUGUCAAAUAAUAUGAUAUGUCGUUAGGUCGUGGACCUUGGACAUGAUUUUUGGCGGUUUUACUAAUGGACUUAAUACACUUUGGGUAUUAAGCCGUCUUAGGCUAAUUCUUAGAUUUGGAUUUGGUUUCGCUCUACUCUAGGUUGACUAGAAUUGGUUUAGAAAUGACGAUUACCCAAGUCGAACAAACAACGGGGUGAAGUCUAAUAAACGACGCUGGAUGACAACAAGCCAACUAUUCGUUUAUCAUUUCCAAAGAAUUCAACUUGUUUUUUUUUCUUGAAGGACAGCCAUGGUAAGCCACGUAACCGCUUUUUUUCCUAAUGUAAUCUAUUUGCCGUUUGGCGAAAUCGGGUGCCAUGAAUGCCACAAUUCAAUAUAUGUGAUAGAUAAAACAAGUAGGCAGUUAAAACACGUAGCCAAAUAACUUAAUCUUAAGGUUAGAAUCAUUCAAGCCCCCAGCAGAGUCGUCAUUCUGUUUUAUUUAAAAACAUAAUUAGACUGAAUUAAGAGUCGCCACUUAAUUUUUAAGAGAAAAUUAAGAAAACCAUUUUUUCAAAAGAUUAAAACAGAAAUCUAAUGAAAGUAUUUAAAGGGAUUCGGGGUUCAUAUUAGCAUUUCGGGAAGGGUUUGAAGGCACCCAAAAUGCCCGCUAAUACGCGGUUAUCCGGUAAUUAAUUAUUUGGCUAAAUUCGUUUGAUUUAAUUUGAAUGGAACAAUUUUUAGAAUCGUUUUAAAAGGGGAAUGGGGGGAAAUACAGGAAUACUAUCUAAGUGAGAUAAUUUACAAUUUUUUUUUUUAAGUCUUGUUAAGAGAUGAUUGAUUUAGUUAAUUUUUUAAAGCGAAAUGGACAUCUUUCGGGGAUUUGAAUUGUUGAUCUUAAAAUUAACGGCUAAUAUUAACAAGUAAAUAAACAUAAUAAAAUAAAUAGGGAAAGAGAUUUGGGCCCAAGUAUGGUUUUUUCUGUCCGCCUAAACCAGUACUUUGGCCCAUUUUCAUUUUGGGUCUUCGGCCCAUUUGAGUCACAUGCACCUGUCCUGUACUAACGCAAACGAAAUAUUUUUCUUUGGGUCUUAGGCUCAAUUUUUCACCUGCCCUAAAUUCUAACAAAAUAAUAAACAUAAUGACUAAAUAGGGUUAGGCCCAACAAUAACAAAAUACAAAUUUUGUAGAAAGAGUGGGUCUUUGGCCCAAUCUUAUCAAUUCUCCUCCGUUUUCCCAUUUUUUCACCUUCGAAACCUGUUCGUCGAUUUUUAUAGUUUGCUCUCGAUGGGCAGCGAGCGGGGAUGGGACGACCAAGAGGCAAUUAGCUUCCACCACCACAAAUGACGAAUCCGAUGAACUCACGCAGACAAAAAAAAAACAAGAAAAAAUUUGACCAAACACCGGAACUAUUAUCUCUUUUCGUUUGAAAUGUAUUCUUCAGUACGUAUUUGAAAAUUUUCUGUUCAAACUCUCUCUGUAUUUUUCACUCCAAAAUAUCUCACAAAAAAUUCCCCCCUCUUCUACAAUGAAUAAAAGCCAUUAAAUAGAAGGAAACUAGGGUUCGAAAAUAGGGAAAACGAUCAAAAAUCUUUGAUAAGAAGGGGCCUAUUUUGAAAUUCAAACUCCUAAUUCCUUUCACCAAAUCGGCCAAACAUCCCUUUUUCUUAAGUUUAGUCCCAUUCUGGAAGAGGAAAUGGGACAGACGCGUGCUUCCCUUUGUUGUUGCGGUUUGUACCAACUGAAAGGGACGUGAGGUAGAUGUCGUUGACGCCUUUGGACUGUCGAUUCCGGGUCGAUUUGUUGGACUGGAUUGCAAUUUGGGUCUCGUUCUCGCUGGGCCGAUGCUGCUGGGCUGCUAUUCACGAUUUUGAGCUCAUACUGCUGGGUUUUGCGAAGAAGAAGAACGAUGCAGGGGUGGGGUCAUUCGGGUACUGUUUGUUGUUGUCGACUGAAUUGUUGUGAUGAAUUGUUGGUGGGGUCUUUUUGGAUUUGGAAUUGGUAUUGAUCUGGGCCAUUUGAGAAAGAAUUUGGCUGAAGAAAUAUUGAAUUGGAUCUGCUGGUGGGUUGUGGGGCUAAUGAAUUGGUGGGCUGGAAAAUUAUUUGGUAUUGUUGGUAUAUAAUGCUGGAAAAUGGAGAAGAAGAUGGGCCCAAAUAAUUGAUUUUUUCUCUUAAAAUCAAUAGGCUAGAGUUGAAUUUGAGCUUUGGCAAUAGGGAUUUAUGUUAUAGCCAAAUGGAAAUUAAAAAUGUAGUCAAACUAAAUUAAUUAGGAUAAGUUCGGCUAGUAAUUCAAAUAAGACAAAUUGAUAUAAUUAACUAAGGAGCAUCUUAAUUUUAACGAAACAAAAUAAUUAGCUAAAUAAAACUAAAGACCCAAAAUAUAAAAUAGCAAUUUAGACAAAAUUAAGUUAAUAAAGUUUUUUAAGUAAAAACUAAAAUCUUUUUGAAACGAUUUUUGAAAUGUUUAUAAAAUAUACUAAUUAUAUACAAAAUAUAUAUAUAUUAUUUAAAAUUUAUAAAAUUAAUUAAAGUAACUUGAAAAAUAGUUGAUCUUUAUAAAAACUAAUUAUUUCAAGUCGCCUGGAAUUUAGGAAGCUCAAAGAUCAAUUAAUAUCGGGGAGGGUCAAAAUUGGGUGUCAACAAACGCAUCUAAAUGUUCAAAGAUGAAGGUAUUCAUCAAUAUCCAUAAUUUUAUAUUUUAUGUAUCACAAACUCGAAUCAUUUAACUGUUUGAUCAGCAUUGCUUUGAAAAGGAUACAAAAAUGUUAUUUCAUGUAAUGUAUCAAUAACUUCUUAGUGUUUUCAGGUUGUUCCAUCGUCUGAAUAUAUUUUCUCAGUGUAUGAAGAUGAAAGAAGAUACAUUGUAUGCCUUGAGCAGAAAGUAUGCACAUGAAUAUUAUAGAUAUGCACUCAUAUUGCUCUGAUUACUACAAGUCUGAUGCAUUAAUAAAAACUUAUGAGGUUGCAAUGGUUCCAAUGCCGAAUAAGGAGGAUUGGUCAGUUCCAGACUAUGUAUUAGAUGAAAUUGUCUUGCCACCUAGGUACAGUAGGUUGGCUGGACGACCAAGAAAAUGAAGAAAGAAAAAUGUGGAUGAGAAGAUAACAGUGAACAAGAAUUCUUGUGGGCGCGGUGGACAAGAAGGUCACAACAGGAGAACUUGUACUUUCUUCCCGAAAGAGAAGUGAAAAUAUUUUGUUAAAAAAGACAUUUGUGUUCAUUUCAAUAAAUUGCACUUGUAGAGAUUUUUCACUUUAAUAUGUGGAUUAAAUAAAGUGUAUUGUUUACACAAUCUAAUUUAAUACAUUAAUUGUUUUGAUAUUUGUUGUUCAACUAAAUAAUUUGUUGAGAUUUGUGUGUUAAUGUUAUAUUAAAUAUAAAAUUAUUCUUAUAUUGUUGAAUAAAUAAAUAAUUCUAAACGUAUAAACUUUGAAAAAUAAUUGUUAUGUAAUUGCAUCAAAAAUUGAUUCACAAUUUGAUUCAUAAUUUAAGCAAAAUAAAGUGUCUCAAAUUUGACUUUUACAAAUGUAUAAGAUAUGUAUCGUAUACAUUACUGUUUGUUGUAUCAUAUACUAGGAAAACUAGUAAUGAAUCAUAUACAUUAAAACUGAAUUGGGUACAUUAGUAAUUUUGAUACAUUCUUUCUUAGUAGUCUUGUUGUUCAAUUUAAUAGUUUGUUACAAUUUGUGUGUUGAUGUAUCAUAUACAUGGAUAUAAUUCAUGUGCCAGAUACAUGUAUGUAAUUGAUAUAGGUGAAUAAAAUUCAUGUACCAUAUACAUUAAACUUACGUAUCAUAUACUUAAUUUCAUAUCUAAACUAUUAAAUUACUUUAACUCAAUCAGUAUGGAAUGUGAAGCUUAACGUUAUAAAGCAACAACGUAUAAUGUAUCUAAAGCAAUAUAUUGAAAACACAAAUUUUUAAUAAAUAACAAAAUAUUGUAAUAUGAAUAAGUUUUUAGAGAAACAGUCUAAAGCUUAAGUGAAUUUGUCUUAAAAACAAGAAAAAACAUAUAACAAUGUUUAAGCAAACAUGGUUGAGUACUACGUGUUAACCAAAUCUUCUUCUGAUGGUGCUGUGAAUUCACCCUUAGACUUUUGUGGAUCGUCAUUCUCACUAAUGUAUCCACCCUUGGCCUUGUCGCUGUCGUAUCUCCACAACAAUGUUGCAUAUCUAUUGCGUAGGUAACUUGAAACAUAACCAUCAGGUGGUAUAACAAGUUGGUCACUCAAAAACUCUGCAAAUGUAGCAACAUAUAACUCGCAGUCCCUACAACAAAAUGCAGAAUAUAAAUUUGUAAAAAAAGCUUACACAUAUGAUUAUAGUCAAGAAUAUAAAUACUUACAAACUAUCACUUUCUUGUUGCAUGAUGUCUUGGGAGAAUUCAACAUUGAAAGGAUGAUGUAGCUCUAAAAGUGUACCAAUUUCUUUGUCCUUAUAUGCAUCAAGUUUUGCCCAAUUUGUUCGCUCAGUUUUUUCAAAGAAAUCACUGUCAAGGAGGUAAGAAGGUAGCAUCCUUGAUAAUUUUUUUAUCUCCCCAGAAUAUACUUUUUUUAUUGUGCCUAGAGAAGAGACAUACACACGUAUCAACCUCUGUUUCAAUUCAACAACAGCCAACACCCAAUGGAAUCGUCCAUCACAAUUAACCAGAAUGUAAACAUCAUCCACAAGAUGCCAUGGUAAUCCAGCUAGUAUUGAAAAUCAUUUCAUGAUGUUGGUGAUUGACCUCUCAUGUACAGAUACAACCGAUGCACUGUCAAUGUGUUCUUGGUACUAAUAUCAUCAUCAGCCUCAGUGUUAUAGUACCUUUCAUGGGUAUUGUGGAUGUGUGUAUUGAACAAACAAUUGACUGUUGUGUAUUUGUAUUGAUUCAUGUUGCGAAGUUUUAAUUUUUUACGAAGGUAGUAGAAAACAACAUCGAUGUGCUACACAAAAUAUUAGAAACAUAAUUAUACAUUUGAAAACAAAAAUGAUGAAAAAAAAUGAUAGACUGGUAGUGGUAUAUGAUACUUAAAUGUAUCAUAUACAUUAAAAUAAAUGUAUCAGAUACAUUAAAUAUACAUAUACAUGGCAACUUUACCUGAUCAGUCCAAUAUUUUUUGGGCUGUGACAUGGAAUAGAACCAGUUUUUGUCGAUUGAAAAUACAACAACAAUAUCCAUCGUGUCAAACCCAAAUGAAGAGGCUUUUGAUCUUGGUUUCCUGUAUUAUUAAUUGUAUUGAAGAGUUACUAUUACAAAUUGGAACAACUGUAGAAAAUUAUCAAAAAUAAAUACAAAACUUACUUAUUGGCAUGAGUUUUGAGAAGACCUCUAUUAAUCAACUGAAUAUACUCAUCAAUCAGAUAAGACAGUUGUUGGUUUGUAAUCCCACAGCCUUCAAAUGGAAAAUAUGGAAGAAUGUCAUCCUCCAAGACCUCUUUUUCCUUUUCGCUUGACCCAAAAGAAGUCAAAUAAGGAGAUUUGAAUAUUUUUUAAGGCAUCCUGUUACGUGCCAGAGGAGUAUUUGUAUCGCUUUGAACAACAAUCUUUGAGAUUGAAAUAUCAAUGGGUAAAUUGACUGUCCGAAAGGAAACUGUGGUUGCCGAUUAACUUAUGUGAAUUUACCGCACUAACUGGUUUAGCAGAAAUAGGCAAUUUCCUAGAUCAACAAUAAGUGUAUCUAUGGCUUCUCGAGUUCCAGAUGAUAUUGUACCAGAUGUGGUAGAAUCCUAUAUGAUUUAAAUUGAUAUUUUAAUAGGGUUUAAUUAACCAGAUGAAAGAUAAAUGAUACAUGAAAUAUAAAUAAUAAUUUUACCGAUGUAUCAAAUGUAACCGGAUCUGGCACAGAUUGACUGAUGUUCUGUUGAACUUUAUUUGAAGCAUCUUCAUUUUUUGUUCCUUCAAAGAGAUGUUGAGGCACUUGUCCUGAUGCAUCAUCCUAAAUAACAACAUAUUGUACAAGUAAUGAUACAUUAAACUGUAAAGUAUCAUAUACACACAAACGUUAAUGUAUCAAACACAACUUACAUUAAACUGCAAAUUACACACAACUUUUAAUGUUUCAAAAACUCCUGAUGUAUCAAUGUAUCAUAUACACACAACUUUAAUGUAUCAACACUGGUUUGUAUCUUGAAACGAAAUGUAUCAUAUACACAGAAAAAAAUGCAAAGUAUCAUAUACACAUAAAUUGAUUUAUAAAACAAUGUUGAUGUAACAAAAGUGAUAUGUAUCAUAUACACACAAAUUAAACUACAAUGUAUCCUAUUGACACAAUUUGAUGUAUCAAUACAAAGUUGAUGUAUAAUAAUAUUAAAUUUUUUUAUGACAAUAGUACCUUCUUAUGCUCAGUUAUUUUUGCAGUAUGAUGAGUAUUUGCAUCUGAGGAUUGGAGUUCUAAAACAUCCUUCAUUUCUUGUUGAUUCUUCAAUGUAUCAUCAAUCUAUGUUUUCAAAAUGAUUUUUUUUAAAUAAAUAUGUUACUGAUACCUUGUUUAAUUUGAUAUACGCAAUGAAUAGAAAACUAUUCUCUACACCAAUAGAGUAACAUGAACCUGAUUUUCAACUUCAAAAUGUAUUCAUAACAUGAAAAAUCAUUGAUAAAAUAAUUUUCUCCACAAAAAGAUGAAACAUUUAUUGAGUCUACAAAUAUUUAAACUUUAUAACUCAAAGAAGUUGGAUACUUAUUGUGAAAACAUUCUUUUUGUAUUUUGAUUUGCUUUUCCUUCAUCAUUCCAAAGAGACUUCAAGAUUAUUUUAAGCCAAAAAAAAAAAAAGCAAGAUUAGAAAAAUAUGAAUUUGAAAAAAUCUCACUAGUUCCUACUUUUUUUUUAACCUUUCUUAAUAUAUAUGUCCCCAAACGUUUGUGCCACAAGAAGGGACGUAUCUAGAGGGGGUGUCGUGGAUUCACGUGGAUCCAUGCUUUUCUUUUUAGAUCAUAUAUAGAAGUGUUAUAUUUUUUAAAAAUAUAUUUAAAUACAUAUGUGUAAAUCCACAUUCAAAGUAUCAUAUAAUAAUAUGGUGUUGCUUGUGUGUACCUCUCUAAGUGAGGAUAAAAAUUCAUACCUUAUAUCUAUCUUGUCUUUUGGAGUUACACCUCUCCAAGCGAUUAUUGGUUACACUUGGCGUUUCAACUAAUUUUUAUUUUGUUUUUUUCUUUAAUCUUUCGAAAAUUUUCAAGUGUGUUAUAUUGAAAAAUUCCUAAAAUUUUUAGCACUGUAUAAUUUUUAUAUAAGUAAAUUAAAUAUGUAUAUUAAAAUUUAUAACUUGUAGUAUUAUAUAUUUUGGACCUGUAAUUUUAAAAAUUUAAUGGCUCAUAUUAAGAACAUAAAAGUCAAACCAAUCAAAUUUAUAUUUAAGAUGCAUUUUUUCGUAAUCCCAUCUUAUCGAAAUCCCGAAUACACCUCUAAAAGCAAGACAUUCAUCUAGUAUUGAACUAUACUUAAUUCCAACAUCAUGGUGAGAGCGAUAUAAUCAAAACAUUAUGAAGUUUCAGUUUAUAUAUAAGUCACUAAUUAUAAGAACACCCAAAUCAUAAGAAAUGGUAUUCUUUUACAAACUAAAACAUUCAUGUUCAAAAUCAAAAAAACAAAUUCAGAUCCAUCAAAAACCUUGAAGAGGAAAUUGAAUUUCUAGAAAUAAAAAGAACAUAUGAAUAGUGGUUAUUAAUCAUAAAUUCAUUAUCCAUAUUAAUCGGGGACAGGAAAAUUGACAUUUAGCAACAUAUAUAAGACUAGUAGUACCAAAUCCCAAAAUGUAACAUUUCCAUUUUUAUUUUUUAAAAUUUUCAUGUCUGGGGUGUUAUAUAUCGGAAUAUGCACACAAGAGGGGGGCUUGGUCUUACCUCCGAAUAUAACACAAGGAUACAAAUUUAUCCUAAAAAAGAGGGCAGAACAAGCUAUCUUAGACCGUCCAACCAGGGGCGGCUCUAAUAAAUCGGUGGCCUAAAGCAAAAUUCGAAUGGAGGUCUUAAAUUCGAAUAUAUAUUUUUUAUGAAGUUUAUUAUAGCCAACUAUUUAAUCUUUCUUGAGGCAUAGUACUCAUAAUUUGUCAAACUUCUAUUACUUCCUUGCUCUUUUACGAAAAAAUUAUAUUUUCUACAAAUUAUACGCGAUAUUUAAAAAAAAUAUAUGUAUAACCUAUUGUAUUUUUUAAAAAUGAGGCCCCUCAUAUUUUGGGGCCUAAGGCAGUUGCUUUUUUUUCAAAGCUGUAGAGCCGCCACUGCGUCCAACCCUUGGAAUAUUAUUUUAGAACAUUUCCAUUAAGAUACACAUAUAUGUAUAUAAUAUACAUCAGCAAUAUUAUUUGUAUGUAUGAUACUUGUAUCUUCUGCUAAUUCUUGUUUCCAGAGGACUGGGUGAAGCCAUAAGGUGACACCAUAGUCAGCCUGCAAAACAUACAUAAUCAUAAUGAGUUAUGCUAUAUUUUUCGAUUUUAGUAUUACUUGUUUCUUUUAUCGUAGUUAUCGUAUUAUUCAUUAUAUAUUGCUACUAUUCUCUUCUUCAAAAUAUUCACUAACGUAUUUGCUUUAUAUACUUGAUUCUUUUUUAAAAAGAGAUACACGUUUUACUUGAAAUGAAAGUCUAUCGAAAACAACUUCUAUAUCUUCACAAGAUAGUGUUGUGUACACAACACCCUAAAAAUGUGUUUUGACUACUCAAAUAGUAUGGUACCAUAUGGUGGUAUGGAGGGAAUAACACAUUAUUACCCUUGAGGUGUAGUGAGUUAGCUAGGCAUGUAACACAAUAUUAUUGUUCUAGGGUCGUUUGAUAAACAGAUUAAAUUAUUUUGAGAUUAUCAUCUUUGGAUUAAUUUAUCUCGUUUCUCUUUAUUCCAUAUGGGAGAUGAGAUAAAAUAGCUUAGUACUAUAAAUCAAAUACAAUAUAAAUUUUAUUUAAAAUUUAAUUCUAAGAUAUUUCAUCUUAUUCCGCAUAUAAAACGUGAUUGCUUUUAAAUAGAUUUGAGAUUGAUAAAAGAAUCAUUUAUGUGAUGAUAAAAUGACUUCACCGUAUUGCUCACCCAAAUCAUGUGAGCUCUGAGGUUUGUUUUCAUUCGUGAUGAAAAUAUAUAGCACCAACUAUGCUUCUCAAUAUUUCUAAAUCCACAUUUCCUAUAGGGUGGUUCAAGGAUUCAUCAAAGCUUAAUAAAAUUUUUUUAUAAAUAUAUUAAAAUAUUUAUUUGUAAAUUCAAUUAUUAUCGUAUAUAACCAAAAAUUAUUGAAUCGAUACAUUUUAAAUUUUGAUCUGCCACUGUACGAGAGACGAAUAUUUAGCUAAGUUAAAAAGCUUCAUUUCCUUCGUAUUUGAGUGUCCUAACAAGAGACGGUUAUCUUCAAUCUUAUAGUUCAAAGAAUUUUAGUACCAAAUGAAAGACUUAAAAACUCUACUUCUUGAAGGAAUUAAUACAUUGAUAUAACUAGAGCCAUCACAAGGGGUUUAGCCCAUGGGGCCGGUCCAACCCAACCAGUUAUUUUGGUAGGGUUAGGAUAGAAUUUUUUAAGCUCAUUUAAAACUAGGACUUAUAAGCCCUUGGCCCUUGAGGCUUGAUUAGGGUCGGCCCAUGGGCCAAAACUUUUUAUUUAAGGGCAAAUUACAACAAUCUCACUAGUAUAUAAUUUAAUUACUUAAAUACACACUAUGUUGUAAUAUUAUAAAUCUUACCAGAUUAUGGUACGUCCAAAUACAUGUAUUUUGGAAUAUAUGAACUCAAAAUUAGGUUAAUUUAUUCAAGAUACACUUUAUCCAAGUAGAUUCUCAUGUAUCUAGGAUACAUAGACGAAUCUCGCGCCCUCACCUCCCUCCCAUCUUGCUUGUCACUCUCUUAUCUCGCUCGCGUUUCUAGUAUGCGAGAUGCAUGCUAUUUACACUAGAUUUUUUGGUAGUAUUAUUGAAACAACACCAUUGUUUGUCAUAUUUGAUUUGAAAAUCUUCUCAUUUUCUUUGAUGUUAUAGAAUUAUAAGUUUAAAGAAAAAAAAAGAAGGGCUAGCCCGCUCCAGCCCUCGGCCCUUCUAGGAUUGGGUUGGGUUGAGUAUUCUCAGGCCCUACCAAAUGAAGGGCCGACCCACCUUAGCCCUUCAAAUUUCUUGGCCCGCGAGGCUUGGGCCAGGCCGGGCUGGACCAGCCCUUUUUGACAGCUCUAGAUAUAACUCUUUUAAAGUCGUUUUGAUUGGUGGAAUGAGAUAGAUAAGAAUAUUUUAUGAGAUUACUUUAUUCUAUCUUUUAUAUGAAAUUAUCAAAUGUAAGAUAAAAUAAUCCCAUUGAAUAUUCAAAAAUUAUUAUUCUUAUCUCACCAACUAAACAAACAUUUAUUUAAACAUGAGUUUUUUUUUUAUAUAUAUAUAUCUGAAAGUUAGUUGAGUGUUUGCACGAGUAAAAUGAGACUGAAAAAAGUUAGGAAUUUCUAGAGUUAUGAACCUGGUGCAAGUAGAGAGUGCGCGUUGGUAAAUGUGCUAACUAUUCUAAUUGCAACUUCCUGAAUGGUCUGAAGAUUUGCAGGAAUGGAAUAGAGAAAUGCAGAUUAAAUGUACUUAUAAUGGUGUUCAAUUAUCAGAAACAGAAUUUCCCAAAGAUUGGUUGAGAGACGGGAUUCAGAUAAAAAUUUUAUUUCCUUUUUGUCUGAAACCUUGGCAUAUAUCUAAACUGUACCCCUCCCGCGGAGAGCUAAUGAAAAAGCAAAAACAAAAAGAUGAUUUUUGUUUUUUAACAGUUUGGGGAAUGGAAGCUGAACUUCCCUUUGGUUCUCCCCGAAAGCGCCCUUCCUUUUUUGAGCCCAUUUUUAAGGAACUCGAAAAAAAAAUUGGAAAAUUCAAAAAGAAAUAUUUUCUAACUCUAAAAAUUUUCAAAGGAAAAACAAAAUUAUUUAGAAGAGUUUCAAAAGAAACCAAAAAAUGGUUUAUCAAAAGUAUUGGAUUUAUAAAAAAAAUAAAAAAAGAACUUUCAAAAGUAAAUCCAAUUGUAUUAUUUAGAUUCAAAGAAAUAUCUGAAUCCAAUGAAACAAAAAAAGAAAAAGAUUAUCUAAUUAGUAAUCAAAUAAUUAACGAAUCAUUUAGUCAAAUUGAAUCUGGAAAUUGGCCAAAUUCUUCACUGAUAGAAACAAAAAUGAAGGAUUUGACUGAUAGAACAAGUACAAUCAAAAAUCAAAUAGAAAGAAUUACAAAAGAUAAAAAGAAAGUAACUCCAGAAAUAGACAUUAAUCCUAAUAAAACAAAUAAUAUUAAAAAACUCGAAUCGCCAAAAAUAUUUUUCCAAAUAUUACAAAGAAGAAAUACUCGAGUAAUAUGGAAAUUCCAUUAUUUUCUCAAAUUAUUCAUUCAAAGAUUAUACAUCGAUCUAUUUUUAUCUAUCAUUAAUAUUCCUAGAAUUACUACACAACUCUUUCUUGAAUCAACAAACAAAUUGAUUGAGAAAUUCAUCUCCAAUAAUGAAAUAAAUCAAGAAAAAAUUACUAAUAAAAAAAAAAUUCACUUUAUCUUUAUUUCGACUAUAAAAAAGUCACUUUAUAAUAUUAGUAAGAAAAAUUCACAUAUUUUUUGUGAUUUAUCCUACUUGUCACAAGCAUAUGUAUUUUACAAAUUAUCACAAACCCAAGUUAUUAAUUUGUCUAAAUUUAGAUCUGUUCUUCAAUAUAACACAACGUCUUGCUUCCUUAAGACUAAAAUAAAGGACUAUUUUAAAACACUAGGAAUAUUUCAUUCGGAAUUAAAACAUAAGAAACUUCAGAGUUAUAGAAUCAAUCAAUGGAAAAACUGGUUAAGAUGGCAUUAUCAAUACGAUUUAUCUCAGAUUAGAUGGUCUAGAUUAAUGCCAAAAAAAUGGCGAACUAAGGUUAAUCAAAGUUGUAUGGCUCAAAAUAAAAAUAGAAACUUAAACAAAUGGAAUUCUUAUGAAAAAGACCAAUUAAUUCAUUACAAAAAAGAAAAUGAUUCGGAACUCUAUUCAUUAUCAAACCAAAAAGAUAAUUUUAAAAAAUGUUAUAGAUAUGGUCUUUUAGCAUAUAAAUCAAUUAAUUAUGAAAAUAAAAGUGACUCAUUUUUUUCUAGAUUACCCUUUCAAGUAAAGAAGAACUUAGAAAUUUCGUAUAAUUCCAACACGUCCAAACACAACUUUGUUGAUAUGCCCGGCAAUCUUCAUAUCAAUAAUUAUCUAAGAAAGGUCAAUAUUCUAGAUAUAGAAAGAAAUCUCGAUAGAAAAUAUUUUGAUUGGAAAAUUAUCCAUUUUUCUCUUAGACAAAAAGGAGAUAUUGAAGCCUGGGUUAAGAUCGAUACCAACAGUAAUCCAAAUACUAAAAUUGGUAUUAAUAAUUAUCAAAUAAUUGAUAAAAUUGAGAAAAAAGGGGUUUUUUAUCUUACAACUCAUCAAAAUCCAGAAAAAACUAAAAAAAAUUCGAAAAAAGUCUUUUUUGAUUGGAUGGGAAUGAAUGAAAAAAUAUUUAAUCGUCCCAUAUUGAAUCUGGAAUUUUGGUUCUUCCCAGAAUUUGUACUACUUUAUAAUGUCUAUAAAAUAAAACCGUGGAUUAUACCAAGCAAAUUCCUUCUUUUUAAUUUGAAUACAAAUGAAAAUGUUAUUCAAAAUAAAAACCAAAAACAAAACUUUUUUCUACCAUCAAAUAAAAAAAUAAAGAAUCGAAGUCAAGAAACAAAAGAACCCCCAAGUCAAAGAGAGCGUGGAUCAGAUAUAGAAAACAAAGGAAAUCUGAGCCCUGUUUUUUCAAAACAUCAAACCGAUCUUGAAAAAGAUUACGUGGAAUCAGACACAAAAAAGGGUCAAAAUAAAAAACAAUACAAAAGCAACACGGAAGCAGAACUAGAUUUGUUCUUGAAACGUUAUUUGCUUUUUCAAUUGAGAUGGAACGAUGCUUUGAAUAAAAGAAUGCUCGAAAAUAUCAAGGUAUAUUGUCUCCUGCUUCGACUGAUAAAUCCAACCAAAAUUACUAUAUCGUCAAUUCAAAGGAGAGAAAUGAGUUUGGAUAUAAUGCUGAUUCAGGCAAAUUUACCUCUUAGAGACUUGAU
rnacentral:lncRNA from 1 species